rnacentral:lncRNA from 1 species
GUGGUGGAGGAAGUGAAGAAUGAUUUCUAAGACAUCAUCUUCAUUAGGAAAGCUUGUUCCAAGAGAUUUGGGAAGAUCAUAAUUGUUUGAACCAGACAUCUUUUGGGAGAUAUUCAAGAUAGUUGAUUUAAAGUCCUUAAUAUAACACCCAAUAUGAAAUAUUAAGGCUAGGACACAACACAAUAUCAUAUAACUUGGAAGAGGGAUGUCGUAAUCCAAGCUAUAGAAUAAUUGAAGGUAGGCGAAUGACGAUUCAUGAAUUUCCACCAUGAAAAACUAAAUAAUUUAUUAGGUUUUAAUUGGAUUUGAAACUCCUAGAUCAUUUGAGAUUCAUUGAACUUUUCAAUGACAUGUUUCAAUCUCGAUUGUACCCUCUCAAGUUUUGUGACUGGGAUGCCGAGGAUCACAAAACAUGGUGUGAAUAACCAUGCAAAUAUACUUGGUACCCUUAAUAUUUACCACACAAUAGAUGUGCCGGUUAACCACACGCGCUCCACCGAUACCAUGAUAAACAUUAAGUUACCCUUUGCAUACCUUGUUAAAUCCAAGUUAGUGUGUCGGUUAACCACACACAAUCCACUAAUGACUUAAGCUAAGUGCAAAGUGUAAUUUCAUGGGUUAGCACCAACUUCACAUUUUCCUAAAGUAACUAAUAUUGGGGAUUAUAAAAGGUUUAGUUAAUUUAUCAUUAGACUUAUAAUGUGUAACGCCCGUAGAUCCGAGCUAGUCAAUUUAGAGAUAAUAGGGGUCGAAAAUGAUUUUUCAACAAAAGAUUAUUUAGAAUAAGUAAUCUUAACCAAGUUGUAGAAUAUGUCACAAGGUUUUCUUACAUAUAAAGAACGCCGAAAUCCGAGUUAUAACGAAGAAGUUAUGACCCGUCGAAGUUUCGCGACGGAACCGAAACGAUACCGGGAAGCAUAAAUAGUAAAAUUUCGAUAGAGUGAGUUUUAGACUUAGCGACCUAAACGAAAGUCGUAGAAUACAUUAAACCGAGAGCAUCCAUAAAAAGAACGCCCAAAUCUGACUUCGUAUGAGAAAGUUAUGAUUUUUCGAAGAUUUAGCUUAGCAGUGUACAUCCCGAAAUUCGAAUAUUAGAUCGAGCGGUUUUUAGCCGACACAACCUAAACGAGAAUCGAAUAUCUCGUUAUUUUUAGCGUAAUGAUAAAAAGACAGACGAAAACAGACGUCGAAUGAAGAAGUUAUGAGAUUUUAACGGACCAAUCCUAUCCCGGCCUGUUAAAUAGUAUAACUUUUAAAAUUAAUUUAAAUUAGCUGACAGAGUCUAAAAGAAAGUUGUAGAUUACGUUCCUGCCUACGCGUGGAUACAAAGCACGUUGAAAACGAAGCUCGUAUGUGAAAGUUACGAAUUUUUAAAGUCGAGUGUGCAAAUAGCGAAAUCUGAUGCGAAAUUGAUGACGUGGCUCGAACAGGGCCGUCGCUUGUUGAGCACAGUGCUCGCUUCAGAUCUUGACACGUCGCAUCUCGGACGCCCAACGCUCGCAUCGAACGCCCCGCUUACCGUGUGCGCCUCGCGUACAAACCUCGCAUGCCCAACGUUCUACCCUUCUGUGGACCAGAGCAAGCCACGUCGCCCCACCGAAGCCGCACCACGUGUUGUACGAACAAAGCUCUACGCCCGCGUAGGUCCGAGGUACGCCCAGCGUACCGAGGCCUCGCAGGCUAUAAAAAGGAAGUGAGGUCAGCCGGCUUCUUCACUCAUUUCUCCACUCUUUCUCUCACUACUUUCUCUCUCUAGCUCCCCUAAACCCUCCUAAACCCUAGGUAAACCCCUUAGCUCCCGAAGGAAGCCCCGAGGCUCCCGGAAUCCUGAGAUAAAGAGUCUUUUGGUUCGGAAACGCUGCUCCAAGCGAAGCCGGUUUUCUUUAAAACCUGCUGUAAGUGAGCUACGCCUACGUAAUUUUUAAUAUAACUUUGAAAUAAUUAUAGUAAUAUUAUUAGGCCCUUAAAAUAAUUAUUCGGGCUAUUAUUAUGAGUUAUAUAGAGUUUUGUUUAACGCUUAUAUAAUAAUAAUAAUAAUAGCUAGACUAUUAAUUAGUCGCGGUUAACGUUAAACUAAACCCUAGUGAUAUUGAUACUAGGUUUUAUCGAGGGAUAAUUGUUUUGAGAUAACGAAGCGCUGUUCGAAGGCAAAAUCACCACCUUUUUCAGGUGAGUGCAUAGUCCCUUUCAUGAACAUGAUUUUAAUAAAAGUAUUGAUUGAAUGUAUUAAAUAUAUGUUUAUGUGCAAAUUAUUUGAUGUUGUCUGUAUUACGUGUUAAAGAACAUAUCUAGUUAUUUAUAAUGAUUUAGGGUAAUGAGUAAACCUAAAAUUUGUUAUGAGGGUCAUUGGGCAGUAUCUCCUUAUAAGUACGAGUGAGAUAUAUACGGGGAAUAGAACCCUUAAACAUGUCAUUGAUCCAGAAGCACGGAUUAGACAUAGUCAUUCGUCCCUAGUCCGAGAGUAUGGAUUGGACUCAGUCAAUUGUCGUUAAUCCGAGAGUAUGGAUUAAGACAUAGUCAAUUGUCCUUAAUCCGGGAGUAUGGAUUAAGACAUAGUCAGCUGUCCUUAGUCCGAGAGUAUGGACAGGACAUAGUCAUCUGUCAUUAAUCGGGGAGUAUGGCUUUAGACACAGACCAAUUGUCCCUCAUUCGAGAGUAUGGAAUAGGUACAGUCAAGGACUCGAGAGCAUGGAUUAGAUCCGAAGUAAGAGGUAAAAUUUAAGGUCUGUGAGUAUGGAUAGUCUCAUUGUGAGGACUGACGGGGUGGGGUAAGAGUUGAUUAUAUAUAUAUGGGGAAAUCGUAUAUUGUGUGAGUUUAUAUAUAUAUGUUAUAACAUUGUGGGAUUGAAAUCCCUAUGUACUCACCAGGUUUCCAAACCUGACCCACUCAGCUUAUUUAUAUAUCUCAGGUGUUGAUAUGAAGUUACAUUACACUGAGAGAUUAAGGAGAUAUAAAUCACUAGAGAUAAUGAAUGUAAGUUCUGUUUAUGCUUACGUUUCUGUAUUGACGAUGACAUUCCAAAUGUUUUAAAAUGAAUAAAAACACAUUUCUUCGGAAAUGCCUUGAUAAUGUAAUUAUCAUGUUUUUCUGGGGACAAAUUUCGCAACGUUUAUCUUAAAAGAGAUACUCUGAUUUUUUAUAAAGCAUAAAAAAAUCGGUCUUUUCUGGCCGUGAAAAUGGGGAUGUCACAGUUGGUAUCAGAGCAUUAGUUUAAGUGAACUAGGAAUAUGUAUUUAUUUCUAGACUUAAAUUUAGAAUGCUAAGUGAUGAUUGUGAGGUGUGAGCACUAGCUUAUUUUAGGAAUUGUGCCUAAAAUGCUUUUAUGUGCUAAAUGGUUGUAUCUGAUAUGUUGUUAUUUGUUCGGAUCUAUGGUCUAUUGCCGAACGAAUCUGGAAACCUUAUGUGUUUAGGAUUCUAAGCGUUUAACUUCGAUAUUAGAACUAGCACAUAAACAUUUUGGAGUGAUAAGGAUGAUUUAAACAUCAAUCCUAAAUAAAGAUCUAGAUUCACCUUAUUCGGUGCAUAGAUCAGGACGGCAAGGACCCGUAGCGGAAACGUGAAUGCAAAUGGGAACCGAGAUCAGCCCCCAGUGAUACAGCAAAUACCAGUCGUAGUAGAAGUUGCACCAGAGCCAAUCACCAUGGCUGGAGUACAAGCCAUGAUGCGGGCUAUGUUAGCUGAACAAAGGGAAGAAAUGAGGCAUAUGUUGCAUGAAAAUAGGGACGAACCUACAAUGCCAGUUGAACAGCCCGAAUUGAACGAUGGGCAGUCAGAAGGUGGGAACUACAAUGGGACCGUUGGUCAAGCCAACCCACCAAUAGUUCAACAAAACAACCAGGAUGACGAAGUCGAGAGGAAUGGAUGCAAGUACAAUGAUUUUUUUGACUUGCAAGCCAUCGACUUUCACUGGAAAGGAAGAUCCGAUCGGUGUCAUGGAUUGGAUCUCGGAGAUGGAGUUAGCUUUCAUGACGUGUGGUUGCAGAGGCAAACUACAAACCACGUUUGCGGUACACCAGUUCAGAGGAGGCGUGGUUCGUUGGUGGAACACUCUGGGGAAAACUCUAAGCCCCAAUGAGCCCCUGUAACUGACGUGGGCAAAGUUUUUGGUGUAGUUCAAACAUAAGUACUGCUCAACCCAAAAUCUGCUCGAGCUAGAAAACCAAUUCCUUACCUUGAAGAAAGGAAGCAUGUCUAUUGAUGAAUACACAAACAACUUCACGGACAAGAUGGAGUUUGCUUUGCGCCUUGUCCCGGAAGAGCUGACAAAAAUCGACAAGUACGCAAAGGGACUUCCAUGGGAGUAUGCGGUGCCAGUACAUCAGACACCUACUUUGGAGGCAGCUAUCUGGGCUACCAAGUCUGUUGAAGAAAUGAUCAAGGGAAGAGCCGCCGGCAAGAUGAAGGUUGGCGAGAAGAGAAAGUUUGAAGGAUCCUCAAGGUCCGACAAGAAGAGAAAAUUCUCGAAGUCUGGUUCAAAGAAGUUCGAAGAAGGAAUGCAAUGGUGUGACAAUUACAAAAUGAAGCACAUUGGGAAAUGCUCUAAAGAGUUUACCUGCUUUAAAUGCGGGAAAACUGGUCAUUACGCCAACGAAUGCACAACUAAGAGAGAAGUAUGCUUUAAGUGUGGUGAAGAGGGACACUUCAAGAAAGACUGCCCAAGGAGAGAAGAAGCAGCAAAACCAAAUGUGCCGCCAAAACCGAAGGCAAGAGCAUUCCAUAUAAUCCUAAACGAAGCAGCAGACGAUGCAAGGAAUCAGGAGUGAGGAUGGAUAUAUGAAGAUUAAGUUACGAAGAAGCCAUGUAGAUAGUCUGUUAUGGUGUAGCCUAUUAGAGGCAUAGUCUAGGGUGAACUUGAACACCUAUGUAAUCGUUUCAAGGAAUAAUAUAAAAAACUUUCGUUUUGCUAUCCAAUGUGUUAAGUUGUUGUGUGAUUUUAUUUUAUGGUGACUUGGAAAACUGCGAGACAAUACUUGGGACGAGUAUGAGUAGGUGUGAAUGGUAGUAGAGGCCUAUACUACCAGAAGCACAGGACUCACACUUGGAUCAGGGAAGGUCACAAGGUUACCAAGAAGCUAGUAAUUGAUACCGUUUUAUUCAAGAAUGUCGUUACCAUUGUUUCGGUAAUGACUAAGAAGAUGAUUGUUAUUCCGACCCUAGCGGUCAUAUCAAAUUGAAUCCGACUACGAUAAUUAUGUUAAAUAGUUCAGAGAAGCAAGUCCGAUGUAGCAUCCGACUUAAGUUAAAAUCUUGAAGUGAAAGAAAAUCAAAGCGAUCAGUAGAGGUAUCGCGAUAGUUGCUUGUAGCUAGAAAUGCUACCUUUUAAGAUGUGAUUAGAACAUGAAGGAAGGUAUAGCUUGUUCUGGAAGACUCUAAAAGACCUAAGUCUAAGCAUUGCAACAUACGAUGAUAGGUCAUUAAAAUAUGACACAUCAAUCCAUUGUAGUCAUAAAAGAACUUAUCUUAAGUUUGUAUCCAGUGAUGAUCGAGAUUGUGACUUGAAGGUCAUAAUUUGGAGUCUAACGUGAGAUAGGGAGCAAGUGCAAGAUCGAGCACCACCUACAGUCAAGAAGUCUUAGAGUUAGAUACUCGUUCAAAGAAACAUGAAAGUUACGGUUAUUACUUAGUAUGAAUAGAUAGCGUAUGGAGUCAUCACGUGAGCCAUGUUUCAUUGAUGAUUCUGGAACAUAAUUAUCCUAAGGGGGAGAUAAUUGUAACACCCGUAGAUCCGAGCUAGUCAAUUUAGAGAUAAUAGGGGUUGAAAAUGAUUUUUCGACAAAAGAUUAUUUAGAAUAAAUAAUCUUAACUAAGUUGUAGAAUAUGUCACAAGGUUUUCUUACAUAUAAAGAACGCCAAAAUCCGAGUUAUAACGAAGAAGUUAUGACCCGUCGAAGUUUCGCGAUGGAACCGACACGAUACCGGGAAGCAUAAAUAGUAACAUUUCGAUAGAGUGAGUUUUAGACUUAGCGACCUAAACGAAAGUCGUAGAAUACGUUAAACAGAGAGCAUCCAUAAAAAGAACGCCCAAAUCUGACUUCGUAUGAGAAAGUUAUGAUUUUUCGAAGAUUCAGCUUAGUAGUGUACAUCCCGAAAUUCGAAUAUUAGAUCGAGCGGUUUUUAGCUGACACAACCUAAACGAGAAUCAAAUAUCUCGUUAUUUGUAGCGUAACGAUAAAAAGACAGACGAAAACAGACGUCGGAUGAAGAAGUUAUGAGAUUUUAACGGACCAAUCCUAUCCCGGCCUGUUAAAUAAUAUAACUUUUAAAAUUAAUUUAAAAUUAGCUGACGGAGUCUAAAAGAAAGUUGUAGAUUACGUUCCCGCCUACGCGUGGAUAUAAAGAAUGUCGAAAACGAAGCUCGUAUGUGAAAGUUACGAAUUUUUAAAGUCGAGUGUGCAAAUUGCGAAAUCUGAUGCGAAAUUGAUGACGUGGCUUGAUCAGGGCCGUCGCUUGCUGACCACGGUGCUCGCUUCAGAUCUUGACACGUCGCAUCUCGGACGCCCAGCGCUCGCAUCGGACGCCCUGCGUACCGUGUGCGCCUCGCGUAUAAACCUCGCACGCCCAACGUUCUACCCUUCUGCGGACCAGAGCAAGCCACGUCGCCCCACCGAAGCCGCAACACGUGUUGUACGAACAAAGCUCUACGCCCGCGUAGGUCCGAGGUACACCCAGCGUACCGAGGCCUCGCAGGCUAUAAAAAGGAAGUGAGGUCAGCCGGCUUCUUCACUCAUUUCUCCACUCUUUCUCUCACUACUUUCUCUCUCUAGCUCCCCUAAACCCUCCUAAACCCUAGGUAAACCCCUUAGCUCCCGAAGGAAGCCCCGAGGCUCCCGGAAUCCCGAGAUAAAGAGUCUUUCGGUUCGGAAACGCUGCUCCAAGCGAAGCCCGGUUUUCUUUAAAACCUGUUGUAAGUGAGCUACGCCUACGUAAUUUUUAAUAUAACUUUGAAAUAAUUAUAGUAAUGUUAUUAGGUCCUUAAAAUAAUUAUUUGGGCUAAUAUUAUGAGUUAUAUAGAGUUUUGUUUAACGCUUAUAUAAUAAUACUAAUAAUAAUAAUAGCUAGACUAUUAAUUAGUUGCGGUUAACGUUAGACUAAACCCUAGUGAUAUUGAUACUAGGUUUUAUCGAGGGAUAAUUGUUUUGAGAUAACGAAGCGCUGUUCGAAGGCAGAAUCACCACCUUUUUCAGGUGAGUGCAUAGUCCCUUUCAUGAACAUGAUUUUAAUAAAAGUAUUGAUUGAAUGUAUUAAAUAUAUGUUUAUGUGCAAAUUAUUUGAUGUUGUCUGUAUUACGUGUUAAAGAACAUAUCUAGUUAUUUAUAAUGAUUUAGGGUAAUGAGUAAACCUAAAAUUUGUUAUGAGGAUCAUUGGGCAGUAUCUCCUAAUGAGUACGAGUGAGAUAUAUAUGGGGAAUAGAACCCUUAAACAUGUCAUUGAUCCAGAAGCACGGAUUAGACAUAGUCAUUCGUCCCUAGUCCGAGAGUAUGGAUUGGACUCAGUCAACCGUCAUUAAUCCGGGAGUAUGGAUUAAGACAUAGUCAAGUGUCCUUAAUCCGGGAGUAUGGAUUAAGACAUAGUCAAGUGUCCUUAAUCCGGGAGUAUGGAUUAAGACAUAGUCAGCUGUCCUUAGUCCGAGAGUAUGGACAGGACAUAGUCAUCUGUCAUUAAUCGGGGAGUAUGGCUUUAGACACAGACCAAUUGUCCCUCAUUCGAGAGUAUGGAAUAGGUACAGUCAAGGACUCGAGAGCAUGGAUUAGAUCCGAAGUAAGAGGUAAAAUUUAAGGUCUGUGAGUAUGGAUAAUCUUGUUGUGAGGACUGACGGGUUGGGGUAAGAGUUGAUUAUAUAAAUGGGGAAAUCGUAUAUUGUAUGAGUUUAUANNNNNNNUAUAUAUAUGUUAUAACAUUGUGGGAUUGAAAUCCCUAUGUACUCACCAGGUUUCCCAACCAGACCCACUCAGCUUAUUUAUAUCUCAGGUGUUGAUAUGAAGUUACAUUACACUGAGAGAUUAAGGAGAUAUAACUCACUAGAGAUAAUGAAUGUAAGUUUUGUUUAUGCUUAUGUUUCUGUAUUGACGAUGACAUCCCAAAUGUUUUAAAAUGAAUAAAAAUACAUUUCUUCGGAAAUGCCUUGAUAAUGUAAUUAUCAUGUUUUUUUUGGGAACAAAUUCCGCAACGUUUUUCUUAAAAGAGAUACUCUGAUUUUUUAUAAAGGAUAAACAAAAUCGGUCUUUUCUGGCCGUUAAAAUGGGGAUGUCGCAUAAUGAGGGAGAACUAUAGUCCUUGUCCUACCCGUUCGGCUAACGACCCUCCACCAGUCAAGGAAGCGGUGGGUGAGAGUGGACACCCAUUAAACUGCCAUUUUGUAGGCAGUAACCUUAUACCCCCUGAUAAACCGGCUUCGUGAAUGAGGCCUACUAAAGGUAAGACUGACUUUGUUCUUAUACAUAUAUAUUAUUAACUUAUAAUACUAUAAAGUAUAAGGGUUUCAUUUUAACUUUUAAAAUUCUAAGGGUAUAACUUGGAAUUAAAGUAUUCAUAAGGGGAAACUUUACAAAUUCCAAAACUUGAGGGCAAGUUUUGAACAAUUCAAAAACUUUUCAAUUCCAUAACUUAUGUGUUUAAAGUAGUUUUAAUGUAAAACUUUUCAAGUUCCAUAACUUGAGGACAAGUUAUGGAAGACUUUAAAACAUUUAAAAAUGAGACUCUCCAUUUUUCAUAACUUAUGGAAAUCUUAUGAGUUUUUAAGAAUCAUAAAUGUGACUUUUCAUAUAGGUUGAGGACAAGUUACAAAAACACAUUUUAUGAAUAAUUUUUAGAUCAAUUUGGAUUGAAAACUCAUUAUCACAUAAUUUUUCUAUUAAUCUAAGCAAACUCAUAUGAACAAGAUAAUUCAAAUCAAACAAUUUUCAUGUAAUUAGCCUAAUCAUUAAACUAAUACAAAACAUGAAUGUAUUGACAAUUAUCUUUUGAAUUGGAUUAGAAUGAACAUUAACACAUCAAAAAACAGGUUUUAUAAGUCCAAAACAGUUUAAAGUAAUGAUUCUAGACCAAUUCCAGCCUUAAAACUCGAAGAUAUGCUGUCUGGGGGUCCAACUCGUCGAGUGCAUGAACCAACUCGACGAGUUGGAUGAUUUUACACAUGGACUCGUCAAGUCCAUCAGUGGACUCGGCGAGUCCCCAGCCCAGAACAACAAAAACUUUGAUUUUCAGCAAUUAUCAGCAAGUAUAAUUGAAAACAAGCCUAGGCUCUGAUACCACUGAAGGAUUUUGAGCAUUCUAACACUCCUAAGGUGUACAUGAAACCCUAAAUACCUUGGAUCUAUGUUUUCUCUUUAUACAUGCAAAUAUAAAUUUUCCAAGGUGUUGUUCUAACUAGCAUACUAUGAAGUACAUAUAAUAUAAAUUCUAGUAUAAUUACAUACCUCUUUGUUGUAGCUUGAUUCAAUGGAGCUUAAGAGCCUAGUGUCUCAAAUGUGACACCUCAAAUGGCUCAUGUGUACACACACUAGUGCCAAUUUCUUGAGCCAUGGGUUCCUUAUAUAUUGUGGCUAUUAGGGUUACACCAUGUAACUCAUGUCUUUCCAUAUUCUUCAUGAUCCAUGGGUUAAGACCUCCAUUGAGUAUCCAUGGGUUUAGCCCAACAUAAAGAACUAUGGAUCAUAAGCUUAUAUAUAUACGAAUGAAUGAUUUACACAACCAAUCGCCAUAUAUUUAAAUAGUCUCCUUUUGAUCACAAGGUUAAUUCCAAAUUAAUUCUUGAUUAAUACUAAUUAAAUAAUAUGAUUUCAUAUUAAUAUAUUAGAACAUAUAAUAUAUUAACAAAUCAUAAAUAUCCUUUUCUCACAAAAGUCUAUCCAAAUUAUUCUGAUGCCAUGCAACCCAAAUGGACCAUGUCAAUCGGGUCAAGUACAUACCAAUUAUAGUUAUGGACUUAGACACUAAUCCAACAACAACAUCUUCUGGAACAUUCUUCCAUGACACACAACCCAUGAACAUCAGCACCACACAUGAUAGAGCACCUUGAGACAUAGUGGAGCAUCAUGAUGUAUAAGUGGCGUAUCAUGAACAUUAAUGGCCUAACAUCCGUCAUGGUGGCACAACAUGGUGUAACCCUUAAUCAAUACCAACUUCUGAGCAUCCUUGAACGAUCUUGAGCACCAUAGAGGACUUCAUAGUAUAAUUGGCUCAUUAAGUACCAAGAUGGUCCAAAUUGCACCAUGAUGGCACAACAAGUGUAUAGAUGGCACAAUAGGCUUCAAGUGUGGCACAAGAACAUCAAGAUUGGAUCAAAAACACCACCUUGGUGCAACAGGAACAUACAUGGAACAACAAGGCCAUGCAUGGCGCAAGAGCAUACUCCAUGGCUCAACAGGAGUACCCCAUGGCACAAGACGGAUCCCUCAUGGAACAAGAGGGAGCAUAAUGGCGCAAAAAGGUAUGCCCUUUAUACAACAACAUCCCUAUUGGACCAUCCCUUUAACAUAUGGAGCAACAAGGUUUCCUUGUUGCUCCAUGUCAUACCCAAGUGCUCUAAACGUCUUCUAAAUGAUCCAAUCCCCCUUCUGUAUGAUCCAUUCCUUUGGAAUUUGAUUCAUUCUUUUUUCAGACGAAGCAUUCAUUUCUUAGAUGAUUUGUUCCUUUGUCACAUGCUCCAUGAACCCCAAGUGCUCCAUUGAGUUACAAGUGCUCCAAAUGCUCCAUGAACAUGAUCCAAAUACUCGAGUGACAUUUAGCAUGUCCUAAAUAUUUUCACCCAAAUUAAUAUUCAAGGCUAUCAUCCUAAAUAUAAUUCUAAAUAAUAAGAGGGAUGUCGUAAUCUGAUUAUGAAUUUAUUUAGGUAGGCAUAAUUCCAAUUUCAAUUUAAUAUGAAACUCCUUUAUCUUUUAAGAUUCAUUGAAUCUUAUCAAUGACAUGUUUAAUCGAAAAUUAUACUCUUCCAUUUUUGACUAGGAUACCGAGGAUCACAAACAAGAGGUGAGUAACCAUGCAUACACGCAUGACAUAUUCGAAAUCAUUUAUAAUUUCAUAUUGGCAUGUUGGUAAACCACACACCCUCCAUCAACAAUCAUAAAAUUGAUUAUGUGCCAUCGUUUCAACUUUGUAGUCCCAUAUUAGUGUGCUAGUUAACCACAUACGCUCCAUUAACGACUUAGAAAAGAAAUGAUAUGUGUUUCCACGGAUUAGCAUACAUUUCACAUUUUUUUAAAGUAACUAGAGUGGGUUUUUUGAAGAAUGUUCUAGUACUUUAUGAAUUAUACUUUUAAACUUUUUAUGUCCUAUCAAACCCAUUCGGCUAACGACACUCCACCACAUAAAGGAGCAAUGGAUGAAAAGGAAAUCCAUUUAACGAUCAUUUUAUAGGCCGCUUCCUUAUACCCCUCUUAUGGAAUGGCUUCGUGAAUGAGGCCUACUAUUGAUUCGAAUGAUUGAUCUUUAUCUUUUAAUUAAACUAUUACUUAAAUCAAUGUAAUCAUUCAAUAAAGUAUGGAAUUAAUAUUUAUUAGUUGAUUAUCUUUAAUUAAAUUAAAUAUUAAAAUCCACGAGGCUAAUCAUGCAAUUAUCUUAUAAUUAGAUUAUGUUUCCAUGUUUAUCUCCUAAAAUCUCAAUUAGGUUUAUUUAAUCAUACAAGGAAAAUAAAAAUCGAAUUUUAACAGGACGAAAACCAUAUAAUUACUAAUUAACAAUCAACUAAUCAGAUAAAGCAUCAAAACAAGAAAAAAACAAAAAAGGAAAGACGUGGCAUGCCGUUUUUUGUUUUGUUUUCAGUUCAUCUCAUGCACACUCAAUUUAAGACAAUCAAGCUUUGAUACUACUGAUGGUUUUAUAGGUUACAAAAAUCAUGUACAUGCAGAAGAAUAAAACUUAACAAUUAAGGGUACAUGUAACCUACUAGCAUCUAUGUCUUCACAUUAAAGGCAACAUAUCAUGAACUAUAGAUACUAGAAGAACCCUACUAGAAUCGAAAUUCAUAGUUUUAGGGUUUCAUACCUUUUGAAUUGUUAUUUCAAACAAUUCAUUGAUUCCUUCUUUGCAGAUCUUUAGAAACCACGCACCAAGAGGAUGAUGCCUCCAAUGGCCUACACCCAAAGAUAGAAACUAUAACGCAAGAGAGGAGAGAGGAGAAGGGAUGUGAAUUUUUGACUAGAGUAUCUCUUAGAAUAGUAGUCUAUGACCAUUUAUAUAACUGCUAGUAAAACCCAAAAAUGCUAAAUUUGAACAUAAAAUAAUAUUAUUUCAAAUUCUUCUAAUUAUCUACUUUCCUUUUAUUAAUUAGAGCAUUCUAGAUUGCCCUCCAAGGUAUCCAAAAUCGUCUAAGCUUCUAGAAUCUCUCUUUUGCUCAACUAUUAAGAAAUUACCAAGUAGCCCUUGCACUUCGAAUUAAUUCCUAUUGAUCCCAAAUUAAUUCUAACCAAUUAUUAAUUUAUUUAUUAAUCAUAUAAUAAAAAAAUAAAUUAUUUCCUAUCUCCAUAAUUGUUAUUCUAAUCAGUUUCUAGUUAUGAUGGCAUUCCAAAAAGGACUUUGCUUUUAUUACAUGUUUAUACCAAAUUAGUUAUGAGCUUAAACACCUUAAUCCAACAACUUUAAUAUGCUGUUUGAUAAACUAUGCAUGAUUACACAGUGAAGCAUAAUGAUGAUAUAAUAUGCUUUAAUAUGGUGUUUGAUAAAUUACGCAUGAUUACAUAAUGAAGAAUAGUGAUGCAAUAUGCUUUAAUAUAGCGUUUUAUAAAUUAUGCAUGAUCACAUAGUGAAGAAUAGUGGUGAAUGAUGUAUGUCCCUUGAGUUUGAAUUAAUAACGUAUUAAUAUUAUAUGGGGAAUAAAAUUAGAGGGUCGAGGGUAGUGACCUAAAACAUAGGUGCGUAUCCUAUCUACAUUUAGUGAUAUCCUAAUAGGAUGAAAGAGGACCUAUAAGAAAAGAGCUUAACCCAAAGCAUUGUCAAGUAGUUUUCUAGAUGACCAUUUUGAAACAUUUUAGGGUUUCCAAGGCAUUUAAAGGUAAGAAUUGAUGUUUAAGGGUAUUUUCUUAGCGUCCAUCCCUAGCCUCCCUUUCAACACUUUGAUCCUCCCCUCUCCCAUUUCAUCCAAUAUUAGAUUUCAUGGUGGAUUUUGGAAGGAAGUUCUUUCAAGAUGGAGUUGUGGAGACUUUCUUAAGAAGAUCUCAGCUUCCAACUAUCUUAUGGAAUUUGGGUAUGAUUCAAGUUUCUGCAUAUAUGCUUAUAAGUUGUUAGAUCCAGAUUCUAAGCUUGUUUUAGGUCCAUUAAACGACGAUUGUGUUGUGGGAUGUGAAAAUGCUUGUAACUUUAUCAUUCUAACUUGUCACAAGAGUAUUUUAGUCUAUGAAUAUGAUCUUUCAUGAUCUUUUGGGCACCAUGAUUGAAGUUAGGAUCUUAUUUUAGUCAUUUUGACCUAACUUGCGUUUAAGACAUGCAUUGGACAUGCAUGUCUAAAAAGCAAUGAUUUUUAUGGUCAUUUGGAAUGGAUAAAGCCUUCAAGAAAGUUGGAGUUGAUUACUUAAUGGAUUAAGGACUCAAAUCAUUGAAAUGUUGAUUCAGACUGUAGUAAGGACGUGACACUAAGGGCGUCACGACGUAACCAUGAUAGAACCCGUAUUUGUUGUGCCUUGUAUACUCACGAUGUGAUAGAGGAAUUUUUAUGUCAUGAGGUUUGUCUAAUGGAUUGUCCAUGAGCAAGUUAGAUGUGUUGGAGCGAGUCGAGCUGGAAUUGGGUUGAGUGUGCCCUCACGAAGUGACCAAGGGCUGGUCACGAAGUGAGGCAUGAUGGUUGAAAUUGUUGGCUGGUGACUUUGACUUUUGGCAUGUGUUGUGUGACAACCCGAUAUUUCAAGUCAAUGUAAUCACCUAAGUCAAGUAUUGUAAUCUAUUUUGAAUUAAUAAAUAAAUAAAAAUAACAUCAGAAAUGAAAUGUUCAGAAGUCUCAAAUGGGAUACAUAAAGUAAUAGAUAUCAUAACAAGGUUUUCAGAAAUGUAAAGAAGACAAAAAUCCGAGUUUUAACGAAGAAGUUAUGACCAAUCGAAAAUCCGCAGCAAAACCGAUAAAACACUAUUAAGCGUAAAACGCAAAUUUUCAUUAAAAUACUUUUUAGCCUUAGGUAUCUAAAUGAAUGUUGUAGAUAUCAUUAAACCGUGAAUGUACAUAAAAUAGAACGUCCAAAUCUGACUUCGUGUGAGGAAGUUAUGAUUUUUUCUAAGUUUCAGAGUAGCGGUAGACAGCUAAAAACUCGAAAUAGAGAUCGAGCGAUAUUUAGCAGACACAACCCAAAUGAGAAUUGAAGAUCUCGAAAAUAGUAGUACAACGGUAAAAAGACAGACGAAAACGGACAUCGGAUGAAGAAGUUAUGAAUUUUUAACGGUCUUUUCCUCUCCCGGCCUAUUAAAAAUAUAUAAUUAAAAAUAAAUUCAAAAUUUGCCAACGAAGUCUAAAUGAAAUUUGUAUAUUAUAUUCUCACCUACGUGUGGAUAUAAAGAACGUCAAAAACAGAGCUCGUAAGCGAAAGUUACACAUUUUAGAAAAUUGGGGCACACAAACCUAGGGGAGUACGCUAUAGCGUACGAGCGUACGCCCAGCGUACUCAGUGCUCGGCCUCAGAUCGACCACGUCCCCCGCUACCCUCUAGCCUGUCCCAUCCGAAGUCCAGAUUCCAAAGAGUGCGUCAUGCAUGACGUACGCCUAGCAUACGCGAAUACGCCCAACGUACGAGGGCCAGUUCCACCCCUAUAUAAAGGGUGCGAGGCUUCCGACUUCUUUAGCUAAUUCACAAAAUUUUUCCCGUAUUUUCUCACUCUCGAGCCUCCUAAAACUAUCACGAUGUACCGGUUACGUAUUCAAGCUACGAAGAUGGUCUGAAGGUCCAAAAAUCCAGAAAAAUUUUCCAUUUUCCGGUCGAAGUGCUGCCCGAGAAAAGUCUCGUUUUCUUAAAUUCAUCCCACUUACCAGGUGAGUACAUACCCCUAUAUUUUCACGUUUUUACUGUAUUUUAGGGGGAUAAAUACAAGUGAAACGCAAGAGAAACUUAUGUUAAAACACAAAUCGUUACAUACAAUUUCAAAUGCUUUAUCUAUAUUUUGUGUAUAAAUGUUAAAUACGUAAAAUAACGUUAUUACAAAUGUUAUACUUUACAUGCAAAGUUGGUAGCACACUAAGGGUUAUCAUUGAAAUGAAGCACACCUUUGAAAAACUAUAAUAGGUAUAGUUUAUGAGAUAUUCAUGAUAUUUUACACUCUAUGAACACUAUAGAAAGGAAAUACUUACAUUUACAAGAAAAUGGACUUUUCAUACGUAUAUCUAUUUGAUACAAACUUUUGUGAGACAUUUAACCUCACAUACUUUCAAGUACGCAUUUCAAGUCCUGUGUUAUAAACCAUAAUCUCUUGUAAGGAGAGCGUGAUUCUUGUGUAUAGAUUUAUACGGGAUUGACAAUCCCGAACCUAAACUGUUAGCUACAGUUGGACCGACAGGUCUGGGUUGACAACAUCAUAUCAUUCCAACGCCUGAAGAACGUUGUGAUAGGCAUUCUGGAUGAAUAGUACGAUUAUAAAAAUCACAUGAAGUAUUAAAACAUUUGAUUUACGGGGCUAUCAAACACCUUAGUGUUUAUAUAUACAUAUAUAAAUCUACUUACACUAUUUUAGGUAUGGAAAAUACUUAUGCAUUCCGAUUUUUGGAACUUUUAAAAACUUCCAUUCAUUUAUAGAAAUAUUGGAUUUUCUAUAAACAAACUCGGUUACUUUAUACAAAAAGACAUAUAAUUCUUAUACAAAAAUUCUUAUGAACUCACCAACUUAAUUGUUGACACUUUUUCAAAACUACUUGUAUUUCUAAGGGAUUCAGUAAUAUAAGUAAACCACAGCUUUUGGGGAAGGAACGCUAAGGCAUCAAAUUUCAAACUUAUUAUAUCAUCAUAAUGUAAUUUCUUUUGAAACAUGUAUUACAAUCAACCAUGUAACUUUUUAAAUUAUAUUUAUGAUAGUUGUGUUUUCUUUCUUUACUAUUUACUCAACUGUUAUGAUAAUACAUAAAGUCAUCCACCCUCGAACGAUUCCGCAGUUCUGGUUUGGGGGUGUGACAUGUUGAAUUUUGGUCAAACUAAGGGUUUUGGACUAUAGAAUGAGAGGGGUACUCUUUAUUGAUGUUUGGUGCCAUGUAGGAUUAGUCUUUGCUGGUUGAGAGUUUUGGUGUUUAGCUGCUACUUGCGAGGUAAGUCCUUUCACUAUACUUGGAUGUGUGGUAGUGUGUGCAUGUUGACCAGUUGAGUCUUAUCUACUGAUUGCUGCUAUAUGUGAACUGAGUUGUUGAUAACUCCUAGACUGCUGAAAGUCCAUGGGAUUGCUGAUAGUCCCCAAGAUUGCUAAUAACCCAGGUGGUAUGUUGUUAAUCCAUAGGACGAGUCGUUUGCCCACUGGGAUUGUUGAUAGUCCCCAAGGUUGCUGAUAACCCAUAGUUGAUUGUUAUGUUGUGUCGUAUGAGAUAUUUUGGGGAACUUACUAAGAUUUGGGCAUACAAUUGUGGAUUAAAUAUUUUGAAGCUGCUUACUAUACGACGAAGGCAUGACUGUACAUACACAUCAACAACUUUAUGAUUCAACAUUUUGCAUUGUCUUCGUUAUAACUCUGAUUUUUGAAUAAUGGUUUAUGGAAAAAUGACUUAUCCUGAAUGUAACUUUAUUAAAAAUGGAUGUUAUAUUAUGUUAAAAACGAAAAAGUUAGCGUGGGUUUUUGGAACAUUACAAUUUGGUAUCAUUGCCCUGGUUUGAGGGAUUUGGAUGAACAUUGGUGGGAUUCCAAACUCAAACUAUGUAACUGAGAGUUUUACAGAUCAUUUUUGGAAAAUAUUCAUUUCAAUAGAAGAAAAGAUAAGUUACGAUGUGUACAGUCAGUCGGAGCUCCUAAAGUUAUUUCCCAAAAUAUGCAUACUGAAUUUAUAUGCUGUGAUUGACUUGCUAUUAUGUGUGUUAUAGUAUUAUGUGUAUUCUAUAAGACAGGCUAAGGAUCAACCCAUGGUUGCAUGCUAGAGUGCCUGCUAGGAGAGAUGCCUAUUUGUGUGUGCUAUGUGAGUUGUUAGUGAUGCAUGUGUAGGCCAAGGAUCCUCAUGAAUUAUGUGUUAGAAUUUCAUGAUCUUUAUAAUCCCUUUUACCUAAUGGUUUUUCUGCUCUAAUGUUGCUUGCUUUGUGUUAUGUGAAAGUUAUAUUAAUGUUGGUUAGCUAUUAAGUGAAUACGUUAAGUUACAUGCCACAAGAAUUAAAAAGUUUUAGAAUGUUUGAUUUAACCUAUUGUGUAGCUCUUGUUUGAUUCUAUCCGUUGUAGUGCAAGAUCAUUUAUUUGGAGGAUUGUUUAACCCUUGUUGCAUGUAAUUGUAUUCUUAAGAUAGUUAGUUGACAUUGGUAGAAGUUUCUUUCGCAACUGAUAGCAGGGUCAAGGUCAAUAUUCCUAGUGAUCUCAGGGGAGUGCUAGAGUGUGUUGAUGCAAGCACUUGUGAAUGAGGAAGUCUAAUAUGAGAAUCUAGGAAGUUUAUGAUGGAUUUCUAAUUAAGCUUUUAGGUAUGCUGAUACACUUGACAGUGGAAGAGUUUCUAGAAAAUCAUUCUAGUUCGUGGUCAUAUGUGAGAAGAAUCCUUGAGGGAGAGAGUCUAGGAUGAGCGGUAGUGUGUGUGCCUACGGUAGCACGUGUAACUGAGAUUGAUAGUGGUGUGGUGUAGUGACUUAGGGACAUUAACACGCUUCUUGGGACACAUAUGAAUAUGUGUGGAAGGUAGUAGGGACCCAUAUUGUUGAAAGAACAAGAUUUGUAUAGGAUUUAAGAAGUGUAAAAAAGGUUUCUAAGAAGCUAGUUGAGGGUAGAUAGUGUAGUAUAACACUAGUGUUAAUUGCAUUCAUCCCCGUCGAUGUCGUUCUGUCGGCUUUGAUUGUGUAAAAUAAGACCGGUAAUUGUUUGGGCCUGAGUUUACAUGACAUUUUGGAUAUGGUUUGUACAGACUUGUAAGGUUUAGCUAAUUCAGAGAAAUUGAUGACAUUGAUCGAAGUAGUGCCAGUCUGAGUUGCAGAACUCAAGAAGGAAGUUGUUGUGAUGAUCAACUCGAGGAUUGCAUCCUGAAGCUGAGUGGUUAGCCGAUGGAAAGGGAUGUUACUUGUUACAUCGGGGGUUUUGUUUUGCUACCUCUUGUGCUUAAGGGAAGAGAGAGUUGUUGUAGGUUAGUCGAUGGUUAAUAUAGGAUUUGGUGAUCUCCUCACCAGUUCUGCUGACGGAAGGUAAAUUCUGGCUUAAAGUAAAUCAUCUCUGUGUUAUAGCGAAAUGAUAUUUGAGACAUGGUUGUUGUUGUUUUUCGAAGGACAAGGUGAAGGUCGUGUCGUAGAUGGAAUACAUAACAUCGAUUCUGGGAGAUCGAGUGUAUUUAGAGAGACAUAAAAUUGAUCUUGUUCUUGCAAAAAUAGUUUUGUGGAGGUGUUGAGUUUUUUAGAGUUAUGUUUUGAGCAUCUAUGGGGGUAUUCUUAAAGUUUCAAUGGGAGGAUGAGAUUGUGGAUCAACUCUCCAAGUGUAAGGUUUCAUGUGCGUAAGUUUAGUUCCAUUGGGUGCUAAGUCUAUCCAAUGGUGUUCUUUCUAAUUUCGCUAAGUUUAAUGGGUGAUAAUGGGAGAAAGGUCUCUGAAGUCUCCAUAUGAGAUUUGAAUAUUUCUUGUUUAUAGUUUCAUCUUGUGUUGUGAUAUUCAUCCUGAAAGUCAGGUCGGGUAUGUUCAUGGUUAAGCCGGUCUCUCACACUUUAGGGUUGCAGACGUCAGUCGAUGAUGGUUUGAACCCUAAGUGCGGGAGAACUAGGUAUUCUGCUUGGAGAAUCAUUCGAUGGUCUGAUUUUUAUGGUUUCAUUUCAAUAGGUCAGAGUAAUCUGCAGCCUAGGGAUGUUAGAUAUUCGUUCAGGUUUUAUGGAUGCAUUAGGGAAAGAUGUGGGCAAUCAUCAAAGUAUUCGUGAUCUGGAAGUUUCUUGUUGCAUUCCUCAGCGGUCUGCUGGAGUCCUCCAUGGACAUGGAGAAUUGAGGUUUGGUCAGAUCUUGGGUACAAAGUAAGUUUCCGUUAGGUGUGUGUGUUGCCCUUGCAGCAACAAGCUAGUGGGUAUGGAAUUGUUGUGGUUAGUAGUUCCUUUGUGUUAACUCCAUAAACCUGGGUGAAGGAUCUUAAACCAUUCUAAUUGUGUAUCGGGUAUGGGAAGCUUGGUUAGCCCUUAAUAUCGGUUUGUUAUUUUUGGUUGAGUUGGGUAAUGGUUGAUUGGUCUCAGGGUUUGUUUAGGUUAUUCAAAGGUUUCAAGCGACAUUAGUUGAGGGUGCAUUUGAUGCAUCAACCCUUAGUCAAAUUCAGUAAAGUUAGUAUCUUGGCAUUUGUGUAGGUGUUUUACCGACUUCUAGGUUAUGAAAUUGUGGUCCCUAACGGGAUUGAGAUUUCAUCUAGCCUUAGUUAUUGGAAGAUCGGAUAUCGGAGAAACGUUGUUCAGUUUUUUUAGUUAUCAUCGUGGUUACACAAAGUUCGGUUUGGCAGGUCGAUUCAGUUGGGUUGGUUUUUGGAUUGAUUCGACCAGGAUUUUUAGCAGCAUUUCUGGAUAUUUUUUUGUGUUCUUCUUUGAUAUUGGAAGUUUUAUUGGUUUUUUCUCAUUGAUGGGAGUUUUCAAUCUUAUUCAAUGUGUGGUAUCUUGUGGUGGUAGUUAGAAGAAUGUGUCUAAUAGCAGUUAAGGUUCAUCGCAUCGUUCAAUUCGUUGGUAUGUCACCUUUUGGGUAAGGUUAUAAUUAAGAAGGAACAUAGUCAGCUGGGGAAGCAUUAUGUUUCCUCCUAGAGGGUGUGAAAAAUUGUGCUUUCUAGUUGGAACGAGAAUUCAUUUGUGGAUCUAGUGCUGGUUGGGUGUGGUCAUGUUUUAUUUGGCGAUGUAACGGUGACUGUAGAUUGUGAAAGAGUAUGUGUUUUAGGAUGCUAUGUAUCCUAUAUUUCUGGCAAGUGUUGAUUGGGAUGUUGAAUGGGUUCCUACUGGUCGGUGAAAUGAUGGCAGUGCGUCUUUAGACCCAUUGGAUGUGGUUGGGAGUCUUCAUGCUUAUGUUCAGAUGAUGGAAAGAAAGGUGAGGAGCUGUAAGCUUCUCAUCCCAAUGGCUGGAUGGCGUUAUGGCAUGUAAUGAGACACCGUGGAUUUCACUUUUGUGAGUGGGCUGGCAGAUGUGUAGUGAGACCCAUCUGUUGGUUUGUUAUUUAUAUGGAAUAGUCGGGAGUUUGCGCAGUAUAGUGCUGUCACUAGUGGCUCAAUGACCGGCAGGUUGAGUCGGGCCAUUGUAGGGUGUUGACUUGCUGGAAAAGUCAUGAUGGUAUGUGAGCAUCUCAUUAUUGGGAUUCUUAUUAGUGGACUCGUGUUCGUUUUGCGAUGAGGUUUCGUGUGAUCUCUCUACCUAAGUUAGCUAUGCUAUAGUGGUGUGCAUACUAGACUAGCCAAGUCUUAGUAGCUGAUUGCUCCAUGUGAGAUAUGUAUGUUUUCUUGUACACUGUACUUAUGAUUGACUCAUGCAAUAGUUUUGACACUUGCUAUUUGCUUGUUUCAUUUUCCAUGUGUUGGUUCAGGCUCUUUAAGAGUGUGUCCUGGUGAGUGGGGGAACUUCCUUUUGGGUAGUUUUCAUUUUAGUUAUGUUGAUACAACUUGGACAUGUCUUGUUGGUAAUCAUGAUGUUUUGAAUUAUCAUACAUAACUAGUUUUUGAUUUUGGUUGUUUUGAUUUUAAACGUAACAUUAGUGAUUGUUUUGGAAAUAAUUGAUUUACAGACUUUUGUUGCUAAUUUCCGUUAAAUGAUGUUUUAAAAUUAAAAAAAUUGGUGAAAAUCACGGCGUUACUUAAAACCAAAAACAAAAACCGUAUUUUCAUCAUCUUCAAACAUAUCUACCCCAUAAUCAUAUUUCAUAUGUCUUUUUAUGUCAUCGAUAAACCAAACUACACUAGAAAGACACAUAUCUUGCAGUCAUUGUAUGGAGACCUUCAAAGAUAUGUAAACCAGAGUUGAUUUAGAUCCACUUUGACUUGGUCCACCUGGUCCACUGGGCUUACUUAGGCAUUGAUAUAUGGUGUGCCCAAUUUGGUUAAAAAUGGUAUAUUUUUGUGGAAAGCAUGCCCUUGACAUGGAAUGCCUUUUGUACCCACUUAGUUCAUUUUUGGAUGAUCAUAAGCCCUGCUUUCUAUGAAUUUAAUCUCAUUUGUUGUUACUUCAAAGUUUGGUAUUGUUGUUGCUCUCACAACCCUUUAAAAAGGUUUGAAAUAUUGUUCACAUUUAAAUAUUUUGUUGAAGUUAGCUAGGAUGGCCUAGCACAUAAUCAUUUUUCCACAUCAGGUAGUCUUUCUUUAUAUCUUCUAUUAAUCAUUGAUGAAAACAAUAGAGUGGUUAAUGUAUGCAUGAUCAAAAUAAUUGAAUCAAUAGAAUGGUAAUGGAUAUACCUUGUGUCCAUCUAGGAGUAUUGUAAUGUCACGACCAUUUCCUUUCAGUGUCUUCCAUCAGAUGGUCCAAAAGCCAUUUCCAUUUUCUCUUAUUCUCAACAUUUACUAUUCCCCAAACUAAAGGAUAAAUGUAAUUAUUGGUAUCCCUUCCUACUAUUGAUAGGAGCUCCCCUCUACAUGUGCCCUUUAGAAAGUAGCCACCAAUUCCAAUGACCUUUAUGCAUUCAUGUAAUGUAAAACCUUUCAAAAACCACAAUAUCAUCAAGCUACAACUCUAAAUACACCUCAACAUGAGAAACUGGAUUCGCCCUUCUAUUUCUAGUUACAUAAUCCAACAAUUUUGCAUAAUGUUCUUUCAAACUUCCCUCAGUUUCAGAUAACGCAAACUUUUUUUGUAUUCCUACACUAACCAACACUCACAUUAAUGUUGAAUCUCUUAGAUACUUAGGCUUACAUAUCCCUCAAACUCAUUUUUUCAUCUCCAAAAUGUAAUUCCGAAACUGUUUCCAUAUCCACUUAUAUGUUACAACUGACUGAAGUUUGAAUGCCCUUGAGGACUUGUACUCUAGUAUAAGGGGCUUAAUUUGAAAAUUUAUUUCCUCUUUCAUACGUAGGAUGCAAACAAACUAAAAGGGUAUGUUGAAUUCUUUCAUAUACAACACCUAACUAGAAACCUAUCCAUUUCAUUAUUUUUAAACCACCAGCUAUAGCCAUUGGCUACAACAUAGUUUCUAAGAGAGAAUUUUGUUGGAUUAAUUUCUAAGUCCAUAACUAUAUUUGGUAUGUACUUGACCCGACCCGACAUGGUCCAUUUGGGCAGCACUUCACCGACACAAUUUAUAUGGAUAGUCUUUUGAGAAUAGUAUAUUUAUGAUUUAUAUUAAUAUAUUAUAAGUUCCAAUAUAUUAAUGUGGAAUCAUAUUAUUUAAUUGGGAAAAUUUCAUAUAUAUCCUUACAAACAUUAAAAAUUACAUGGAUAUCCUUCCAAAAUUCAUAAUUACAUAUAUAUCAUUGUUAACCUAUUAAACUCACAUUUAUAUCCAAUCUUAUAAUAAAAUAAGGUAUAAAUUAAUUUAAUACAAUAAUACAUAUUUAAAAAUCAAAAUAAAAGAUAAUUAUACCAAAAUACCCUUUCCAAAUUGUUAAAGAAAAAAACUAAAUAAAUUUAAUUAGGAUUAAAACCUAAUUAAAUAUGGAAAACUUCAAAACACACGUUAUUUAAUAAAACCUUCAGGAACUCAUUGUGAAGAACUUGACGUGAAGUGAAGAACUCCUGCCGUUUCUUCUUGAUCGCUCACUUAUACAAAUCGUUGAUAGCCUCAUUAUUCUCUUCUUCAUCACAACAGAUUUAUCCUGUUCUUCAUUCCAUUAAUUUUGAUUUCGUAUUUGAUUAAGUUCUUGCAUCGAUUAAUUUUUGGUUUACAAUAGACAAUUUAUUAUCCUCCUCUUUAAUGGAUAAUGAGGUUGAUUACCUGCUGUUGGAAUAAAAGGGUGGUAAUUGGUGUAAAUUGCUGAAAUGUUUCAAGAUUUGGUGUUUGGGAAUUGUAUAAAUAUUUUGCCAAAUGAGUGGCACCUGUAAGAAAAUUUAAACCAGAUGGGAAAUCAAGAAGGGCCUGUAAUAUAAAGUCUAAGAGACGCUGCUUCUACAGUUAGAUUAUGGUAUGGGAACUUCAAUCGCGUACAAAGACUUAUCGUUGAGGUGUCUCACAUUACUUUUGAACCAAGGACAUUCGACAUUAGGUUACCUGAACCCCUUUCUAUUGAUACUUGAUGCCAAUUUUUGUACAUUCAAUUGUGAUUCAUGAUUCAUGAUUCUCAACUCGUAAAAAAUUUGAGUCAAUUUAAAUGAGUGGGGACAAGAUUAAGAAAAAGGGAGAAACCAGUACUAGCUAUCAAGGGCAAAAGGUAAGGAGAGAACACGAGGAGGGAGAGAUGGAUCUCGGUGAAUAGAAAACUUGACCCUUCCAGAUUUGAAAGAUUUGGGCGAAUUGAUGGACCAAACCCUUGAAAGAUUUGGACGAAUUGGUGCAGCUGCAGCUAUUGUACCACCUCUACAACAGGCGGUUGUUGGUGGUAGCAGUUCAAGUAUGGUGGCGGAUAAUGUGAGUGGUAGGGAUGAGAUGCAAAGGGGGGCUCAAACUACUCAAUGGUUCACAGAUUGGAUGACCAAUCCUUCUGAACAUAAUUAAGAGGCGUGAUUUUGAACUCAAAAGCUUAUUAACAAUUCAUAGCAAAAUAUAAUAGAUUUUAAUUUGGGAGAUAAUUUAGAAAGGGUAUUUUGGUAACAUUAUAUGUAUUUUUGAUUUAUAAAUUUAUUUUAGAUAUUAAAUUGAUUUAUAUCUUAUUAAAUUAUAAGAUUGGAUAUAAAUGAGAGUUUAAUAGUUUAAGAAGGAUAUAUAAGUAAUUAUAAAUUUUGGAAGGAUAUAUACGUAAUUCUUAAUGUUUGCAAGGAUAUAUAUGAAAUUUUCCCUANNNNNNNNNNNNNNNNNNNNNNNNNNNNNNNNNNNNNNNNNNNNNNNNNNNNNNNNNNNNNNNNNNNNNNNNNNNNNNNNNNNNNNNNNNNNNNNNNNNNNNNNNNNNNNNNNNNNNNNNNNNNNNNNNNNNNNNNNNNNNNNNNNNNNNNNNNNNNNNNNNNNNNNNNNNNNNNNNNNNNNNNNNNNNNNNNNNNNNNNNNNNNNNNNNNNNNNNNNNNNNNNNNNNNNNNNNNNNNNNNNNNNNNNNNNNNNNNNNNNNNNNNNNNNNNNNNNNNNNNNNNNNNNNNNNNNNNNNNNNNNNNNNNNNNNNNNNNNNNNNNNNNNNNNNNNNNNNNNNNNNNNNNNNNNNNNNNNNNNNNNNNNNNNNNNNNNNNNNNNNNNNNNNNNNNNNNNNNNNNNNNNNNNNNNNNNNNNNNNNNNNNNNNNNNNNNNNNNNNNNNNNNNNNNNNNNNNNNNNNNNNNNNNNNNNNNNNNNNNNNNNNNNNNNNNNNNNNNNNNNNCUUAUCCUUGGACGAUUUUAAGGAUAUCCUUAUCCUUGAAUUCGUCCAUCCUUUAAUAAGGAUAAAUAUUGCCCUAUCUUGCAACUAUCUUAUAAUUACAAUUCAGCCCCUCUAGUUUAAUUAAUUACACUUGAUCACAAAAUUAAUUCCUAAUUAAUUAUUGACCAAUAUUAAUUAAACAAAUAUGAUUUUUCCUUUAAUAUACAAUUCUUAUAACAUAUUAAUAAAUCAUAAUAACCACUCUCUCUAUUUAACUUCUCUAGUCAAGUUGCUUUGGUGAAGGCAACCCAAAAGGACCAUGCACAACCGGGUCAAGUACUUACCAAAUAUGGUUACGGGCUUAGACACUAAUCCAACAAUCUCCCACUUGGAUAAGUCUAGUAACCACAAAUGUAACGUGCAACUCGAUUAGCAAUCGUAGCUCUCAAAGACGUUGUCAAACUCUGAUCUUAUUAGUAACCUGUCGUUUAGAUAAGGGAUCGUAUAGUCCUCUGUUUAAAUAUUAUGCGGACAAUUCUAUGGAAUCUUUUGUCCAGCAGUUGGUUUCUCGAUCUCAGAUUUAUUCGACAUAGAACUUAAUCAAACACAUCAUUUAGUUCUGACCGGGCCCGUCACAUAAGUCAAAUCAAAUUAUCGAGUGGCCGAGAUAUCGCUUUUACCCUCUUAGGAUAAAAGUAACAGAUAAACUUCGACUUAUAUACAUUUACUUAUUCAUUAAUCAACUAUACACAACAAUGCGUUUUAUAACAUCAAGUUACUGAUGCGGUUUCGCAUUAUCAAUGUACAACCAAUUAACAAAUAACAAACCAUAUAUCUAGGUUUUAAGAACAUAUGAUAUUAUUAUCGUGCGAUCACCCUUUUAUCACAUUCCAUAAGGUGAUCCCAGCAAGCGCAGGUUUGUUCCAAUGCUCAAAACUAUUUCAUAAGCACUCAUGAACGUUGUAACAAACUUUUGCUAUGUCUAAUACCAUUUAGACAAUCUACACACCAAUUCAUGAAAAUCUUCAUUCAUACCUACUUCCAACAUAUGAAUGAUUGUGGACAGUUUGAAUAAUUCGAUUAUUCUUAAUAAACUCAAUUAUUCUGGAAGUCAAAACAUGCAAAGUGAAACAAUAGCUAAACAAUUAACAUAAGAUAGUAACAUUACUCAUAAAUAAAACUCCUUUAUUUAAUCAUCAAAUGUUAAUUACAUUUAUCUAUUACACGUUUCUAAUACUAUCUAAUCUAUGCUAAUAUCAUCCUUCAGCCCAAUACUCCUAGCAUGCUGCAAGUGCUUAACCCUACUCAGUCCCUUCGUAAGCGGAUCUGCUGGGUUAUCUUCUGAUGAUAUCCUCUUCACUACGAGUUGUCCUUCUUCUACACGAUGUCUAAUGAAGUGAUAUUUUCUGUCGAUAUGUCUUGAUCUACCAUGAUCCCUCGGUUCCUUGGUCAAGGCAACCGCUCCUUCGUUAUCACAGAAAAUCUCCAUGGGCUCCUUUAUGGCAGGUACAACUCCAAGAUCACCGAUGAAGUUCUUUAGCCAUAUUGCCUCCUUCGACGCUUCGCUCGCUGCAAUGUACUCUGAUUCGCACGUUGAAUCAGCUACGGUUUCCUGCUUGGAACUCUUCCAUGUCACUGCUCCUCCAUUUAGGGUAAAGACCCAGCCCGACUGCGAACGGUAGUUGUCCCUGUCGGUCUGAAAACUGGCGUCACUAUACCCUCGCACCUUCAAGUCAUCACUCCCUCCGAGGACUAAGAACCAUUCCUUCGUCCUCCGAAGGUACUUAAGGAUAUUCUUCACCGCAAUCCAAUGUGCUUUGCCAGGAUUCCCUUGAUAUCUGCUAACCAUGCUCAAAGCGAAGGCUACAUCAGGGCGAGUACAAGUCAUAGCGUACAUGAUUGAGCCAACUGCGGAAGCGUAUGGUACUCGGCUCAUUUCUGCUAUCUCAGCUUCGGUACUCGGACUUUGAGUCUUACUCAAUUUGGCAUUACUUUGUAUCGGUAGUUCUCCCUUCUUUGAGUUUUCCAUACUAAAACGUUUUAGUACCUUCUCUAAGUAAGUAUUCUGACUAAGUCCAAUUAGUCUCUUACUUCUUUCUCUUACUAUCCUUAUUCCCAAAAUGUAAGAAGCCUCUCCGAGGUCCUUCAUAGCGAAGCACUUCCCGAGCCAGGACUUAACCUCCUGCAGAGUCGGGAUGUCGUUUCCUAUGAGUAAUAUGUCAUCGACAUAUAGAACGAGGAAGCUUACUAUACUCCCACUGGCUUUGACAUAUACACAAGAUUCGUCUUCGCUUCGUACAAAUCCAAACUCUUUGACUUUCUCAUCGAAGCAAAGAUUCCAUCUGCGAGACGCUUGCUUAAGUCCAUAAAUGGACUUCUCAAGCUUACACACUCUAUUCGGAUGCUUCGGAUCCACAAACCCCUCUGGCUGAGCCAUGUAAACAUCCUCAGCCAACUUUCCAUUAAGGAAAGCGGUCUUGACAUCCAUUUGCCAAAUCUCAUAAUCAUGAAAUGCGGCAAUUGCUAGCAUCACUCUAAUAGAUUUAAUCUUCGCAACUGGUGAGAAGGUCUCAUCAUAGUCAACUCCGGGAGUUUGAGUAAAGCCCUUCGCAACCAAUCGCGCUUUAUAUGUGUGUACGUUUCCAUCCACGUCGGUCUUCUUCUUGAAGAUCCAUUUGCACCCAACGGUCUUACGUCCGGGCACAUAAUCAACCAAAUUCCAAACUUGGUUAUCAUACAUGGAUUGGAUCUCGCUAUCCAUUGCCUCUUUCCAUUUUGCAGACUCCGGGCCUGCCAUGGCUUCCUUAUAGCUAUUAGGUUCAUCAAGAUUUACUAGUGUACCAUCACUAAUAUACGUGUCCCCUUCGGUAGUAAUAUGAAAACCAUAAAACUGGGGUUGAACUCUAACUCUAUCGGAACGUCUAAGAGGUAAGGAUUCGUCAAUUGGUUCAACCGGAGUUUCCUCCUCGGGUUGAGUGCCAGCGGUAGAGGUUCCUUCAUCUAUCGACUCUUGAAUCUCUUCAAGCUCGAUUUGCCUCCCACUGUCUCCUUGGCUUAUGAGUUCUCGCUCUCGGAAAACUCCUCUCCUCGCAACGAAGACAACAUUGUCCUUCGGUCUAUAGAAGAGAUAUCCAAAGGAUGUCUGCGGGUAGCCGAUGAAAAUACAUCGCUCACUUCGAGGUUCAAGCUUGUCGUGAGUAUCUCGUCUUACGAAAGCCUCGCAACCCCAAACCUUGAUAUGUGCCAACGAGGGAGCUUUCCCUGUCCACAUCUCGUGAGGUGUUUUGGCAACCUUUUUAGUAGGGACUCGGUUAAGGAUAUGGGCGGCAGUCUCUAAGGCAUACCCCCAAAAAGAGAUAGGUAGUGAAGCACGACUCAUCAUAGAACGAACCAUGUCCAACAAGGUUCGAUUACGCCUUUCUGCCACACCAUUCAACUGUGGUGUCCUAGGUGGCGUUAAUUGCGAAACGAUUCUGCAUUCUUUAAGAUAGUCGUGGAAUUCAAGACUUAUGUACUCUCCUCCUCGAUCGGAUCGAAGCAUCUUGAUUUUCCUGCCCAAUUGAUUCUCCACUUCAUGUUUGAAUUCUUUGAACUCUUCAAACGUUUCUGACUUUUGCUUGAUUAAGUAAAUAUACCCAUAUCUACUAUAAUCAACGAUGAAAGUCACAUAGAAGCGGUUCGCAUCCUUUGUGGUGGAUCUAAAGGGUCUACAUACAUCGGUAUGUAUGAGAUCCAACAAACCCUCACCCCUUGCACAAGAACCAAUGAAGGGUGACUUGGUCAUCUUUCUAAGUAAACAAGACUCACACGUGUCAUCUUCCCUAAGCUCAACUGACUCCAACACUCCAUGCUUUUGGAGUUGGGCUAUGCGCUUCUUGUUGACAUGUCCAAGACGACAAUGCCACAAACAUGCUUUAUCCAUACUAUUGGACGAAUCCAGGCAUAAAACAUCAUUUCCUAGGUUAUCUACAAUCAUAACAGUUUCAUAAAUUCCAUUACAUGACAUUGCUUCAAAAUAUAAGACACCAUUCAGAUAAGCAUAAAUUGAACCAUUCUCAUUAUUAAAAGAAAAUCUAAAUCCUUGUCUAAACAAACCAUGAAACGAAAUGAUGUUUCUUGCCAUUUCUGGUGAGUAGCAACAAUUAUUCAAAUCUAAACAUAAUCCAUUACUAAGNNNNNNNNNNNNNNNNNNNNNNNNNNNNNNNNNNNNNNNNNNNNNNNNNNNNNNNNNNNNNNNNNNNNNNNNNNNNNNNNNNNNNNNNNNNNNNNNNNNNNNNNNNNNNNNNNNNNNNNNNNNNNNNNNNNNNNNNNNNNNNNNNNNNNNNNNNNNNNNNNNNNNNNNNNNNNNNNNNNNNNNNNNNNNNNNNNNNNNNNNNNNNNNNNNNNNNNNNNNNNNNNNNNNNNNNNNNNNNNNNNNNNNNNNNNNNNNNNNNNNNNNNNNNNNNNNNNNNNNNNNNNNNNNNNNNNNNNNNNNNNNNNNNNNNNNNNNNNNNNNNNNNNNNNNNNNNNNNNNNNNNNNNNNNNNNNNNNNNNNNNNNNNNNNNNNNNNNNNNNNNNNNNNNNNNNNNNNNNNNNNNNNNNNNNNNNNNNNNNNNNNNNNNNNNNNNNNNNNNNNNNNNNNNNNNNNNNNNNNNNNNNNNNNNNNNNNNNNNNNNNNNNNNNNNNNNNNNNNNNNNNNNNNNNNNNNNNNNNNNNNNNNNNNNNNNNNNNNNNNNNNNNNNNNNNNNNNNNNNNNNNNNNNNNNNNNNNNNNNNNNNNNNNNNNNNNNNNNNNNNNNNNNNNNNNNNNNNNNNNNNNNNNNNNNNNNNNNNNNNNNNNNNNNNNNNNNNNNNNNNNNNNNNNNNNNNNNNNNNNNNNNNNNNNNNNNNNNNNNNNNNNNNNNNNNNNNNNNNNNNNNNNNNNNNNNNNNNNNNNNNNNNNNNNNNNNNNNNNNNNNNNNNNNNNNNNNNNNNNNNNNNNNNNNNNNNNNNNNNNNNNNNNNNNNNNNNNNNNNNNNNNNNNNNNNNNNNNNNNNNNNNNNNNNNNNNNNNNNNNNNNNNNNNNNNNNNNNNNNNNNNNNNNNNNNNNNNNNNNNNNNNNNNNNNNNNNNNNNNNNNNNNNNNNNNNNNNNNNNNNNNNNNNNNNNNNNNNNNNNNNNNNNNNNNNNNNNNNNNNNNNNNNNNNNNNNNNNNNNNNNNNNNNNNNNNNNNNNNNNNNNNNNNNNNNNNNNNNNNNNNNNNNNNNNNNNNNNNNNNNNNNNNNNNNNNNNNNNNNNNNNNNNNNNNNNNNNNNNNNNNNNNNNNNNNNNNNNNNNNNNNNNNNNNNNNNNNNNNNNNNNNNNNNNNNNNNNNNNNNNNNNNNNNNNNNNNNNNNNNNNNNNNNNNNNNNNNNNNNNNNNNNNNNNNNNNNNNNNNNNNNNNNNNNNNNNNNNNNNNNNNNNNNNNNNNNNNNNNNNNNNNNNNNNNNNNNNNNNNNNNNNNNNNNNNNNNNNNNNNNNNNNNNNNNNNNNNNNNNNNNNNNNNNNNNNNNNNNNNNNNNNNNNNNNNNNNNNNNNNNNNNNNNNNNNNNNNNNNNNNNNNNNNNNNNNNNNNNNNNNNNNNNNNNNNNNNNNNNNNNNNNNNNNNNNNNNNNNNNNNNNNNNNNNNNNNNNNNNNNNNNNNNNNNNNNNNNNNNNNNNNNNNNNNNNNNNNNNNNNNNNNNNNNNNNNNNNNNNNNNNNNNNNNNNNNNNNNNNNNNNNNNNNNNNNNNNNNNNNNNNNNNNNNNNNNNNNNNNNNNNNNNNNNNNNNNNNNNNNNNNNNNNNNNNNNNGGAUGAGAUUCAUUGAAACUAUUCAAUGGCAUGUUUAAAUCUCGAUAUGCCCCUCUUGUUUGUGACUGGGAUACCGAGGAUCACAAAGCGGGUGUGAAUUACCAUGCAAAUUCACAUGGUGCCUUCAUUGUAACGAUCACCUAUUCGAUGUGCCGGUAAACCACACACGCUCCAUCGAACUAUGAUAAACAAUGAAUCACCCUUUACCACCUUUGCUUAGAACCAAUUAGUGUGCCGGUAAACCACGCACGCUCCACUAACUUCUUAGCAAGGGUGCAAAGUGUAAUUUCAUGGGAUUGCAUCAAUUCACUUUUCCUAAAGUAACUAGGAUUGGGAAUUUUGAAAAACAUGUAGUUACUUUGUAUUCUUAUAUUAUACUUUUAAUGAGGAGAUGAGGUUGCCCUAUCCUACCCGUUCGGCUAACGACCCUCCACCAGUCAAGCAAGCGGUGGGUGUGAGUGUACACCCAUUAAACGGCAUUUUAUAGGCCGCAACCUUAUACCCACCUUAUAGACCGACUUCGUGAAUGAGGCCUACUAACGGUAAGACUAGCAUUUUAAUUAUACAUAUAUAUAUUUAUUAAGCUUGUAAUAAUAUAAUAGUAUAUGGUGUAUUUUAAACAUUUCAAAAUACUAGGGUUUUAAUCUACAAUUUAAAAUUUUCAAAAUUUAAUACCAUUUAAAUUAAAAUUUUAAAUAUUAAAACUUUUGAUUUAAUAAUUAUCUUAAAUUAAACUAUUAAUUUAAAUUAUCAAAUCAUAAGGGAUUAUCUAAAUCAUAAGGAUAAUUACCAUUUAAACAUUUAAGUUAUCCUAAUCCCUUAAAUCCCUUCUAAAUUUCGAAAAAUAGGGAUGGGAUAAUUCAAGAUCUUUAAUUACCAUAUUUAACUAUUAAAGGAUAAUUACAAGAUAUGGGAUCAUCCAAAUCCCUAAAAUUUAGGAUCUUAUAUUGGGGAAGGAGGCAAAUCUCGAAAUCUUAGGGUUUGCAAACCCUAGAUCUCGAAAUCUUGGAUUAAUGGAAAGGAUUUAAAAAACCUUUCUACAAUUUUCGCAAAUUAGGGUUAAGAAACCCUAAUCUCGAAAUUUUCAUGCCUCCUAGGGUUUAUUGGCUAUAAACCCUAAUUUGUCAAGUUCAUACAAUUGUAUAAUGCUAAUUAAAAACAAUUUAACCAAUGGCUCUGAUGGCUCACAAACACCACAAGCAAUUGGAGAGGCUAUAGAGAGAAAAGGGAGGAGGUAGAAAUCGUCCUUAGAUGCUCUAGGGAUCAAGUGGAUGAAUUUCUAAGGCCUUAGGGGUCUUUAUAUAGGGUUGGGAUUAGGGUUUCAGUCCUUAUCCUUAUCCAGUUACUUGCCCACCAAGCAACCACAAGAUAAGCCUUGAAAACCCUUAUCUCUUUGACCUUGGACGAUUUUAAGGAUAUCCUUAUCCUUGAAUUCGUCCAUCCUUUAAUAAGGAUAAUUAUUUCCCUAUCUUGCAACUAUCUCAUAAUUACAAUUCAGCCCCUCUAGUUUAAUUAAUUACACUUGAUCACAAAAUUAAUUCCUAAUUAAUUAUUGACCAAUAUUAAUUAAACAUAUAUGAUUUUUCCUUUAAUAUAUAAUUCUUAUAACAUAUUAAUAAAUCAUAAUAACCUCUCUCUCUAUUUAAUUUCUCUAGUCAAGUUGCUUUGGUGAAGGCAACCCAAAAGGACCAUGCACAACCGGGUCAAGUACUUACCAAAUAUGGUUACGGGCUUAGACACUAAUCCAACAGUUUUAACCCAUUGAUCUUAUGAAAUGAAAGGUCAUGGGUAUUAGGGUUUACAUGUAUGUAACCAUAAUCCUCCAUACUAUAUAAAGAGGCCUUUGACACAAGAAAUGGUACUAGUUUGUGAGGACAUAAGUGUGGGCCGAUUUUAGUGUGCAUACAUAUUCUCUCAAGUUCUUCCAAGGUGUUUUGGUGAUUUGUUAUUCCACUUGAGGCUUCCACACUAUUGGGGCUAAGCUCUUAAAGCUUGAAGACAUCAAGCUACAUCAAAAGGUAUGUCAUCUAACUGGAACUUUGUAGUAUAGGUGCUUCAUGAGAUGCUAGGUAGGACGAAACCUUGGAAUAUUUAAUAUUUGCAUGUAUAAUAGAGAAAACAUAGAUCCAAGGUUUAUAGGGUUGUAUGUACACCAUAGGAGUGUUAGAAUGCUCAAAACCUAACAGUGGUAUUAGAGCCUAGGCUUGUUUUCUUGUUAUACUUGCUUAAAUUGCUGAAAAAUCGAAUAUUUGUGCUGUCUGGGCAGGGGAAUCGACGAGUCCAAGUGCAAACUCAUCCAGGUCGUUGAGUUGGUUCAUGCACUCGACGAGUUGGACCCCCAUGACGACAUAUCUUCGAGUUUUAAAGGUGGAAUUGGUCUAGAAUCACUACCUUAAGCUAUUUUGGACUUAUAAAACUUGUUUUGAAAGUGGUAAUGAUUAUAGUAAACCAAUUUCAAGGUUAAAAUCAAAAUUUCAAGUUUUAUUUAUGUUAAUGUAAUUCUUGAAAUUGUUGAUAUGGAUUGUUCAUGCUUAUGAGUUUUGGUAGAUCAAGGAAUUAUUUACAAAAUUGUUUGUUAGUUAAUUCUUGAUCUAAAUGUAUUUUAAUGGACUCCAUAAUUUGUCCUCAAGUUAUGGAUUACCAAAAAUUUUUGUGUUACCUUGUUUUAUGAGUUAUUUUAGAUUAAUGAAAAAUGUGUGUUAGUUAUUUUCAAUCCAAAUUAAUCUAAAAGUUGUUCAUAAAAUGUGUUUUUGUAACUUGUCCUUAAGUUAUAUGAAAAUUCACAUUUAUGAAUCUUAAAACUUAUAAAAAUGCCUUAGGUUACAAAAAAUGAACAAUCUUUUCUUAUAAAUAGUUUUUAUGGCUCCAUAACUUGUCCUCAAGUUAUGGAUGUAUAAAAGUCUUCAUUAAAAGUUUUAAAGCUUUAAUUAAACUCAUAAGUUAUGAAAAUCCAAGAGCUUUGAAUAGUUUCAAAACUUGCCCUCAAGUUUUGGAACAUAUAAAGUCAUAAUUAAAACUUUAGUUCCAAUCCCUAGAAUUUUAAAAGUUAAAAUUCAACCCUUAUACUUUGUAAUAUUAUAAGUUUAAUAAUAUUUAUAUAUGUAUAAGAACAAAAGUCGUCUUACCGUUAGUAGGCCUCAUUCAUGAAGCCGGUCUAUAAGGGGGUAUAAGGCUACUGCCUAUUAAAUGACAGUUUAAUGGGUGUCCACUCUCACCCACCGCUUCCUUGACCGAUGGAGGUGAUGGGUUUUAGACAUAAGAACAAUCCUAUGUGCUCAUACAAACCCUAAUGCUUGGAUCUAGGUUUCUCUAUUGUACAUGCAAUGUAUCCAAGACUUACAAUCUUAGAUCUAACAUAUUAUAAACUGAAAUUAGGGUUUAGAGAAUUACCUUUGAUUGUUAUGUAGCAAUAACAAUCUCAAUUCCUCCUUACAAUGACUUUAGAAAGCUUAGAGUCACAAAUGUCACUCAUCUAAUGGCUCACAAAUACCAAGAGCAAGAGGAUGAAGAAUAAGGAGAGAGGAGGCUGCCAAAAACCGUCCAAAACCCUAAGGAGUUACUUCCACACGUUUUUGGUGCUCUAGGGAUCUUUAAAUAGUGAGGCUAUUAGGGUUAUCUAACAAGGAAACCCUAAUUUGGAUGCUUAGGCCCUAAGCAACCCAUGGACUCCUUCCUUAAAGGCCUAGGACGAUUUCUAAUGGGUUUCCCCAUAGAAUUCGUCCACCCCUCUAAUAUGGAGUCCAUUAGCNNNNNNNNNNNNNNNNNNNNNNNNNNNNNNNNNNNNNNNNNNNUAUUUUGUAACUAUCACAUAAUUACAAUUCAGCCCCUCUAGUUUAAUUAAUUACACUUGAUCACAAAAUUAAUUCUUAAUUAAUUAUUGACCAAUAUUAAUUAAACAAAUAUGAUUUCUCCUUUAAUAUAUUAUUCUUAUAACAUAUUAAUAAAUCAUAAUAACCUCUUUCUCUUUAUUUAUUUCUCCAAUCAAGUUGCUUAGGUGAAGGCAACCCAAAAGGUCCAUGCACCAUCGGGUCAAGUACAUACCAAAAUAGUUAGACUUAGACACUAAUCCAACAGGAGGGUCGUUAGCCGAACAGGUAGGAGAAGGACAAUAAUUCUCCUUCAUUAUAAGUAUAAGGAUAAAUACUAAGUAACUAAACACUUAUAAAUUCCCAAUCUUAGUUACUUAGGAAAAUGUGAAUAAGGUGCUAAUCCAAGAAAUUACACUUUGCACUUUCUUUAAGCCGUUAGUAGAGCGUGUGUGGUUAACCGGCACACUAACCUGGAUUUAACAAGGUAGGCAAAGGGUAACUUAAUAUUUAUCAUAGUAUCGGUGGAGCGUGUAUGGUUAACCAGCACAUCGAUUGAGGGGUAAAUAUUAAGGGUACCAAGUAUAUUUACAUGGUUACUUCACACUUUGUUUUGUGAUCCUCGGCAUCCCACUCACAAAACCUGAAGGGCACACUCGAGAUUGAAACAUGCCAUUGAAAAGUUCAAUGAAUCUCAAAAGAAUCUAGGAGUUUCAAAACCAAUUAAAACCUAAUAAUACAUUUUGUUUAUCUUGGUGGAAAUUGGUGAAUCGUCAUUCACCUACCUUCAAAUAUUUUAUAGCUUGGAUUACGGCAUCCCUCUUUCAAGUUAUAAAAUAGUUUGUUGGGUCCUAGCCUUAAUAUUUUAUAUUGGGUGUUAUAUUAAGGACUUAAAUCAACUGUACUUGAAUUUCUGAAUUUCUCCCAUUGUUGAUGUAUGGUUUAGACAACAAUGAUCUUCCCAAAUCAAGCUUUCCUAAUGAAUGUGACUUCCCGAGUUUGGCUCAUGGAAGUCAUACUUCUCUUCCUCUUCAUCCUCCAAUUAUUCUCCUUGACCCACAAGUUUAAGGACUUGAAAUGUUCAAGAUCAUUCAAUCCCUAUUCAUAAUAAAACAUAAAAUUGGAAGUCCUGUGUGCACUCAUGUCUUAGGACUGAAGUCACACAAUGAUAGGUUUAGAAUGUUGGGUGUCGUUGUCCCAAGGAAGUUGGCUAUUAACUGGGUCUUUCAGUCACUUCCUGAGUCAUAUAGAAAGACUACUAUGUGACAGAUCACGACAUGACCCUAAUGGAUCUUUCUUAUUCUCUUAUUGUUGCUGAAUCAAAAAUGAUUUAGUGCAAUAGUCAAGCAAAUAUGGAUGGAAGGUCUAUUUCUCAAACUUCCAUGGACAUGGAAAGUGGUUACAUUGGAAGUUCAGAAAAACUUUCUCUUCCCAAUGGAAAGGGAUUGGCCUUGGUCAACCCAGUUGACCAGAAGGUAAAGAGAAAGUCUAAGUCUGGAAUAUCCUGUGUCCCAUUCCCAAAGAGUCUAUAUGUUCUCAGUGUGAAGAAAAGGGGCAUUGGAAGCGAAGCUGCCCAAGCUACCUGAAAGAAAGAAGAAUAAAAAGUUUGACUCUGCUUCUGGUAAGUCCAAUAUCUAACUCUGUUAAGUUCCCAGUUGAUGAUUCUUAACACAAAGUGUGACUCGGUUGCAUUUUGAUAUUUAGCAGGAUCAAGCAAAGGGAAGGAAACUUAAAGAAAGAGUAUGCUGAAUUUGAUCGCAAAGAUGGAUUUCUUUCGGUUGUUUGAAGAUUGAAUUCUUGAGCUACUUCUUAGGAGUUAUGAUAGAUUGCUAGGAAACAUGUAAUAGCAUAGUUUUCAUUUCAAGUUGCAUUGUAAGGAAAAGUUUUUUCCACAUUUUAAAAUAAAUAAAAGUUUGUUUUACAUUAUUUUUAUCUCCUUACAAUGGCAUUCAAGAAAACUUGAUGUUUUUAUGUUUAUAGCAAUAUUGGAAAUAUGAAUUUGAUUCUCUCAUUUGUGGUAGUGUCUCAAUUUACCAAAUAAGGAAAGAUUCUCAUCACCCAAGUUUCAAUUGGAUCGAAACUUGGAAUCAUACAAGGUGUUUAGUGUGAUGUAUGAGAAUUUUCAACUUUGGAAAAUUAAGACUAGUUUCGUGUUCACAUGUAUAUGUGACUCAAGAGAAGGACUAAGGGAUCAAGUAAACUUUCUUGUGCACUUGUCAAAGUCCACCACAAAAGAUGGAUAAGACUAUUCGUCAUGAUUUACUAAGGUUUAGAAAAUAUGAUUAUACUUAGAAGCUUAAGUAUAAUUCUGAGACAUUGGAAAAGUUUCAAUGUAUGAUAGAACGAAUAAGAAGAAUCAAAUUAGGCAGAAGGGUAAAAGUUUCUCAAACAUGAAAAGAUGGGAGAGUACUUUAGUAUCAUGUUUUAAGAUCAUCUUAAUGAUUUUGAGACCUUAUCACAAUUCAUCCUCUAAGUGCAUUCUGAUAGUUAAGAAGAGGAGUUAUGAAUUGUUGAAGUGGUUAAAUCAAGAAGAUGAUUCAUACUUUGUUCCAAAAACAAUUCUUAGAGUUAUACUCUAAGAUUGUAACUUGAGUGACAUGUCUUAAAGAAGGUUUAAAACACUUGUCAAAUGUAAGAGUAAAAGUUUUCUACUCUUGUACAUUUGAAAUUGGUAAGUUGUGAUGUUUUGGAUAAAACAAAGACCAACUAAGGCUAAUUGUGUUAAGUGUCUGUCUUGAUUAGAAUCCACACUAUCUCUUGAAUAUUUGGCAAGAAAGUCUUAUAGGUCAAGGAGACAGUGGGAGUCUAAAAGAUCCUGAAAGGGUUUCAAGAAGUAAUCAAUAAUAAAACUUGUAUUUCAUCACUAGCACACAACUAGAGGUUUAUAACGUAUCGUGUUGACAUUUCUGUGCCCAUUCCAGUUAAGUUGUCUAUACAUUUGAGUUCUACAUGUUCUCAAUUGCUUGCAUAGCUACUUGGAAGCAAUGGCAGGCCCUUGAUCUGCCAGGUGGCAAGAAGUUAAGAUUGCACAAGUUCAAUCCAUAUGAGUUAGGAUUUGUCACUAACCUAGUCUUGUGAUUAUGGUUUGACAAAUUUACGUGGAUAAGAACACAUGCACCAUAAAAUCUAAGUUUCAUAAGGUUUCUCUCUGAUUCAUGAAAAUGAUGGUGAGGAAAUUCUUUCACUAAGUAGAUUUUAAGUAGAUAGCAAUUGUGAUAUUUACAGUUCUUAAAGUCGUUAGUGGAGCAUGUGUGGUUAACCGACACACUAACAUUAACUUAUGAGAAAUGACAAAAAGUCUAAAUAAUUGAGACUAUGAUUAUGGCAUCCCUUUUCAUAGUUAUGAAAUUGUUUAGACACACCUGUGAGCUAUCUAAGAUAAGGUGUAUGAUUUUGAUAAAAUCUUAUCAAAGCAAUCUAGUAUCAGAAACCUGAACUUUGGUAAGAAUGUUAAUAAAGUAUUGACUUCUAGAGGUCCAACUGUUUUCUAGAUACAUGUCAAAGCUAUUGGGAGCAUAAGUGUUAUGCUAAUAAUCAUCAUGUUAGUGGGAGCAUGAUAAUUAUGAUAAGUAUUACAAAUUAGCAAUGUUAAUUAUAGAAAACAAAAGUUUCAAUUCGUGAGGUUGCAGGGGUUGAAAAAGUUGUUUUGCUAUAAUUAAGGGAGAGGAAAUUAUACUUCUUUUCAAUUCUAAAAAGCUUAGAUUGAGUUUAUAAUCAUUCUAAAGAGCUUAUAUUGAGGUUUUAAUCACCUUUAGUCAAGAAUAUAUAUAUGAAUUUCAUGUUGGAUUGGUUCAACUUAAGAAAAUUCUAUAUAUUGCGUUCUCAAAAUUCGAUUACGGCAUCUCUUUUCAUAGUCAAAUUUUGAGAAUAUGGAAAACAGAAAUUAUUAUGGAAAAAGACUGGUCUAGAACCAUGUCUUUAUGUGAAACAUCAUGAAUCGUGUCCCAUUUAUUUUGGGUACAAGAUCGAUUACAUGUGCUAUAAUAUUUAUCCUUUCUAAAUUGUCCAAAUGCCUUAGGGCAUUAAGGGGAACAGUGUCUAGAAUUGGAUAUGACUAAAGUGAUUAAGCAAUUGUCGAGGACAAUCUAAGGUUUACGAAAGAUUGGUUGCUCAAGGACAAUUGGAAGUAUAUUGUUAAUAUUGGAAGGACCAUAUUGACAUAGUCUGAAAAGAGGCAACUCUUGUUCAUAAGUGGUAGUCAAAAUGGGAAUAUAGAGUUGUCUUCAUAGGUGGAAGCAAUCUGUGUAAGGUUAAAGAAACUUAAUGCAAGAAGCAUGUUCAAAGCAAUGCGCUUUGAAUUUGAGACAUCGUUUCCAUGGAAUUGCUCUCCAUUGGAAUACUCUGUAAUGAUUGUUGCCAAGUCUUUGUGGCUUUGUGCAUAAUCAUUACAAGAGGAACAAUGCAUAUAAGUUUAAAAUCUAAACAAAUUUCGAUAAAUGUUAGGAAUUCUUACAUUUACGACAAGGAUUUGGGAUUGUGAAAAGAGAAUCAUUGAAAUUAUGUUCAAUUGAUCUAGUUCACAAAGAAAAGGAUCAUAGACAAACAUACAGUUCAUAAUUGGUGUAUGGCAAAACUAUUGUUUAGAAAACAUAGUGUACAUGCUUGGAGCAUAGGACACCUAGUGUGUUAAUUCAAGUAUAAAGUUGAUAAAACCGAACCAUGAAUACUGAGUAAUCAGUAUGGUGAUAAAUAGAAAGUGUUUUAUUUAUAUUUAUAGGUUUUGAUACCAUAUUAGAUUCAUUUAUUCUUGUGUUUCACUUUGCAUGUUUUGACUUCCAUAAUAACUAGGUUAUUCUUCCGGAAUGACUAAGUUAUUCAAACCAUCCACAGUCGGUCAUAUGUUGGAAGUAGAUAUGAAUCAAGACUGUCAUGGGUUGGCUUGUAGAGGUCCAAGUUGGUGGACAAAGUUGUGCUACAACACUCAUGAGUGCUCAUAAGUUCUGAGUAUUGGAUUCAACCCACGCUCAUUUGAAUCACUUCAUGGAUUUUAUCACGAGUGAUCAUGAGACGAUAAUAUCUUAUAUUCUUCAAACCUAGAGAUAUGAGUUGUUACUAUGAGUUGGUUGUACAUUGAUUGCACGAAAACGCAUUUGGUAACUCGGUGCUAUAAAACGUGCCUCUGUGUACGAUUCAACAAGUAGUAGAACAAGCCAUAUGAGUCGAAGUUUAUCCAUUCCUUUUACCUUCGGGAUAAAAGCGAUAUUUGUGGGCCCCUCGAUGAUUUAAUGAUGACACAUGUGUGUGCUUGGCCACGCCAGGACUGAUUUGAUUAGUUCAAUCACUCAGUCGUCAUAAAUCGGAAAUCGGGAAACAACAAAUGGACAGAGAGAAUGAUUAUAAUCCAUGUCUCAGUCCAUAUGAUAUCUACAAUGGAGGAAUAUAUGAGCCUUUAUUUAAUGGACAAGUCAUUGACAAAGGUCAGAGUUUGUUGACAAGGUCAGAGUUCGACAGAGGCUUUAAGAGUUACGAUUUCCAGUUGGUUUUUGAAGUCAUACUCAAUAAUAGUUUUAGACUUAUCCAAGUGGGAGACUGUUGGAUUAAUGUCUAAGUCCAUAACUAUAUUUGGUAUGUACUUGACCCGACCCGGCAUGGUCCAUUUGGGUUGCACUUCACCGACACAAUUUAUAUGGAUAAUCUUUUGAGAAUAGUAUGUUUAUGAUUAAUAUUAAUAUAUUAUAAGUUCUAAUAUAUUAAUAUGGAAUCAUAUUAUUUAAUUAGUAUUGAUCAAGAAUUAAUUUAUAAUUAAUUAAGUGAUCAAAAGGAACUAAUUAAAUAUGGACUCUUAUAUAUAUGGAAUGGGCCAAGUUCAUUUAGGUUGGGCUAAGUUAUCAUGGAUAGUCCAUGGAGUUUUAAACCAUGGAUCCUAUGAAAUGAAAUGUCAUGGGUAUUAGGGUUUACAUGGAUGUAACCCUAAUCCUCCAUACUAUAUAAAGAGGCAUUUAGCACAAAAAAUGGCACUAGUGUAUGAGGACAUAAGAGUGGGUUGUAUGUCAUCUAACUAGAACUUUGUAGUAUAGGUGCUUCAUAAUAUGCUAGUUAGGAUGAAACCUUGGAAUAUUUAAUAUUUGCAUGUAUAAUAGAGAAAACAUAGAUCCAAGGUUUAUAGGGUUGCAUGUACACCAUAGGAGUGUUAGAAUGCUCAAAACCCAACAAAUUUAAGUUCAACAGUAGUAGAUAAUUUCAUAUCUAAUAGAGGCUUCGUCUGAUUCCUUUCGUAUGUAUGACCCUGCCAAAAGGUAGAUAGGUUCUUGUGCAUUCCCAUAUUCUGUAAAAAUGUAUAUAAUCUUUAUUUGACAAAGUUUAUUCAAGAGGUGAUCAUUAAUGUUUAUUUUAAAGAUAUAACUUCAUUAUCCUCUUCAUGUCCACCUUUCCCACCAUCUAAAUGGAUUCAACAUCUUCAAUAGAAACCACAUCAUUUUCAGGGUGUCUGGUUAUUCCUCCCAAAUCUAAUAAAAAAUGUCAUGUUGGUGGUUUACAUACAUAUCAAAUCUCUUUUUUCUUUUAGCGGCUUCAAGAAACUCAUUAAAAUCGCACUCAUUCUAUAUAGAAUGCAAUCCCUAAGCCAAAAUUACUUCAGGUACAAAAUAAUACACAUAGUUUGGUAAAUUAUUCAAGAAAAUGAUGACAACAGAGAAGAUCAUGUUGUUCACAUUAAUGUCACGUAUAAAUGCUCUGGUUGCAUCAAAAUACAUCAACAGGGAGGGUGAGAAUGUCAUUAUAGUAUACAUCAAAGAUUGGUAUUGCCUCUUCUGACAUGGCUGAUUACAUUUCAGGAACAAAUGCGAUUAAUGGUGUUGGAAUAGUGUGGCGUAAGGCUUAGUUAAUGAACCACAAUUGCCCAUUAUCCUCUAAUUUAGGGUGUGAUAGAUGGCCUAUCGACAUUCCAUGUGGACACCACAUGUAUAAUAUAUUUCUCAUUAAAAAAACUAUAAAAUCAAAGAUGAUCGGUUAAACCUGACGUAGCCGGUAAAACGAAAUUAAUGUGAANUAUACCUUAAUAAGCAUUUACACUAAAAUGCUGAAUUUUAAGAAGUACUUACCAAAUUGCAAUACUUACAAUCACUUUAUUCAAUAUUUUGACCAAAUAACACCCUAUUCGUCCAACAAUCUCUCCAGUUUAUCGCCUAAUACCUUCAAAUCGGCCUUUGACCCAGCCCUUUAAUCCUUGAUUGAGUCAAAUCCUAAGAAUCACAAGAUCUCGCCUAAAAUAUUGUGAUUUUGUUAUGCCUUCCUUAUAUAUAGAGAGUCAAUACCACAAAGGUACAAACCAGUCAUCUCCAAACAAACUAUCAGUGUGUUGCCCAUUUGCUGUCACUAUUAGCUCUGGUAUAUAUAAACCACCGUAUCGCCACCACUCUUCCUCCUUCUCCGCCUCUAGAAACCACUGCACCACAACCAAUAAACCAUCGUCGCUGGUAUAUUUCUCUAUAAAACCGCACUCCACCGCUAGCUCCACUUAGUGCCACCACAUCUUAAACCCAAAUCAAUUCUCAUCAAACUUUCUCUCAUCGUAUUUUUAAGGUUUUGGUGAACUCCAUCACCACUAAUAAACCUAAACCGAUUAUGUGGUCACUAUGCUUUGAUCGGUAACCCAAAUAAUCCUUUGUAAAUUGCCAAAUAUGCCUCAUCUAAAUGCUCUCCAGUUCCAUGGCCAUCACGGAUAACCACACCAAUUACCCGAAUUCCAUAUUCUCACUAACCCACAUCUGAUCCAUCUGUUCCUUUUGAAUUAUGAAUACACACCCCAUUCUCUGCCUCACCCUAACCCUAACCCUAGACAUAACGACGGAGCCACCCACCUGACCAUUCAUGCCCGAGCUCAUUGUGUAGGUUGGCGCCGGUGGUCUCUUGUCCAACACUUCAAUCGGAGAAAAAACCAGGUAACUCCUUUUGCACUAACAACGAAACAAGGUUUAUUAUAAGCAUUUGUUUGAGUGGUUGCAACUGGGUACUUCGAUACAUGUUUUUGUGAUUCUGUUGUCCUUUUAUUUUGUUUUUAUAUCUUAGGAUGAUUCUAAUAAAUACUAUUCAUAUUGAUUUUUUUGAACCUAUAUGAGUGUUGGCAGUUUUGGAAAUAAGAGAGGUCUAUAAGGGCGAUUUGAUCAUAUGUUUGGCAACUUGUGGAAAGGGAUGGACAAUUGGUAACUAUUGGAAAAUGAUGGUUAUCGAAAAAGAAUUUUUGCUGGGUGAGUUGUUGUUUUUGGAUGCAAGGGUAUUUCUUGAAUAUUAUUUGUCAAUUAUGUGAAUCAUAAUCAUAUUAUUUAGAUGCAUUCCUAUUUUUGGAUCAAUUUCUAUUUCUUUGAACUUUAAAAUUCAUUUACUAUGUAAAGAUGUGAGUUGGUUGGGUUUUUAGGUGUGAGUGUACUAUAAUUGUGAUAAUUUAGUACUUUGAUAUGUGUUUGGUAAGAUAAACACAUAACAUUAGUUUUGUGACAAUAAAGAUGACUUGGUUUUUAAAGGCCGAGCUCCAGGUUAGACAUUAUUGGAGAAAGCAUUGGGAUUUUGAUAAGGUAUGUAUGCUAAUUAGGUUAUGGCAUUCUAAUUUUUUUUUAUUUCUAGAAAGAACAUUUAAAUUUGAUUUACUAACUUUGAAUUUAUAUAUUUUUGACUGAUCUCUUUGAGUAAUGUUUGGUAUGGUGUAGUUCUUUCAUGUGGUGCUAUUGAUUAUAUUUGGUAUAUGUUUUAGCCAGAUGGGUUUGGGGUAUCUCUUGAGUUUUAUACAAUAAAGUUCACAUUUAUUCCAAUAAUAAGUUUUUUUUUUGUUUUUCAGCUCCUACAAACAAUUAGGUUAUUUGUUGAUUUUAAUUUAUAUUAUAAAGUUCACAUUUAUUCCAAUAAUAAGAGUUUUUUUGUUAUUCAGCUCCAGGAGACAAUUGGAUUAUUUGUUGGUUUUUAUGGUAUUAUGUGAAAGGAGAGGAGAAAUAUGGUGUGGUGUGGUGUUGACUAAAGAAUUGUGGUUGUGGCUUCAACUUCAACCAACAGGUAAUAGCCUUGAUCAACUAACUCUUUCAUUUUGUGGUUGUAAAAAAAAACUCUUUUCAUUUAGCGGUUUCAUUUAGGUUUUAUUAUAUCAAAAUCUUAUACUCUUAUUUAUCUUACAUAAAUGUUUUAAACACCCUAUAUUCAAAGAGAUGUUUGCGAUUUAACAUCUAUAUAUUCGAGAAAAAAUAAAAGAAAUUUGUAAUAGGGGUGGCCAUACGCUUAAUAUUGCAUUAUGUUGCAUUAACACUAUUUUUUAUAACUUUAUUGUAGAUAUUUUCUUAUUAAAGUAUUGUACUUUGAAAGUACAAUGCUAUAAUUAGGUGAAUGUUUUCAAAUUAUACUGCUUCCAAACUACAAUGCUUUAAUAUGUUGCAAAUUUCAUUAUCUUUAACUAAAGUUUUUCUUAUUUAAAACUUUUUUUAAUUACUUGGCAUACCUGAGAUAUUAUUCAUAAGAAGAUAGUUCCCUUUUUAACCAAAUUUUUUUUAUAUAUUCUUUAUGAUUUUAACAGGUUGAAGUGACAAACGCUUGUCCUAAGAAACAAACAUAAACAUGACCGACAAGAACAUGAUUUGGGAACAAAUAGUAAUUGUCAAUCUAAUGAUGUUAUUUGUAAGAAAAUCUUAAAGAUUAUGAAGAUUUUUAUAAGAGUUACCUACUACUAUAAUUUGAAUAUGAUAUCAAGGUCAUUUUAUGAAAAAAAUUGUAUAAUUACCAAUAUAGUCAGUGAUGCAUGAAACUAAUUGUUUAAAUUCAAUGAUAUAUAUAUUCAUGAUACCGACUUUAAGUUUUAACUUUAUUAUAAAAAUAAAUUUUGAUUAUUAUGUGGUUGUUUGGGUUGCUUAAUCUCUAUACUAAUAAAAGAGUAGUCUUUUUGCCAAGUGUCAUAAUAUUAGAACUCCUAAUUAAUAUGAUCCCACUUGUCAUUCUAUUAAUUCUCUAUUUUAAAUUCAUUAAACCUCCUAAUUAAUGUGAUGUUAUUUGUCAAUCUAUUUAUUCUUUAUUUUAAAUUAAAUUUUAAAUUUUAUAAUAUUGUUUUCAUUAGUCCACAAAUAAAAAGAGUCUAAUAUAUAUGAUAAAUUAAUUCCACAUAUUUAUUUGAAUCAAUAAUUAUAAUUUUACAUAACUAAUAAAAAAAUCUCUUAAUUAAUAAUGUAUUUAAAAUUUUAUAUAAAAUAAUUGAUUAAUAAUUUUGAAUUUUUUACUAUGAAUAUUUAAUUAAUUUUGUAACCGUGGUUUCCACGGGUUAUAAACUAGUUAUACUAAUAGUCAUAAUAGUCAAAUCAAAACGGAGUUAAUUAUGUCUUUGGAUAAGUUAUAAAACUUCUUAUUACCUUUUGUGCUAUUAAAAUGUAUUAAUAUAAAAAAGACAAAACUGCAAAUUUGGUCCUUGUGGUUUGGCAAAACCUUUGGAUGGGGUCCAAAAAGUUUCCAGCUUGCACCAAAGGUCCAAAAUCAAGGUUUUCAUGGGUUUUUAGUCCAUUCCGUCAUUGACCGUUUGUUUGGGGCCGUUAGUGCCUUCACGUGCCCUCCAUGUGAGGGCAUUUUGGUCAUUUUACGUACUUAUUUUAAAUAAUAUCAUAUUUCUCCUUUAUAUACAUACUCAUACGCAAUCCUCUUCUUCUUCUUCAUUUUUAUUUACAGAGAAGCAACAAAAGGGCUUCUUCUUCGUCUCUCAAAGGAUUCUUCUUCUUCGUGUCUCGUCUACUUCUACUGCUACGAGAUUCAAAAAUGGUGCUCUGCUUCUGUGGGAACGUUGCUGUUGUGCGAACCUCAUGGACUUCACGAAACCCUGGUCGUCGUUUCUAUGCAUGCCCUAAAAUGGUAAGCAAACUCAUAUUAGGUUAUGAUAUUUCGGUAGUUAUGCAAUAACUCUUCUACUUUAAUGUAUUCUUGUAGGGAUCCAGAUGUGGAUUUUUGGGGUGGUUCGAUCCCCCUACGUGUCAAAGAUCAACUGUUAUCAUACCAGGACUGUUGAGAACAAUGAAUAGGUAUGAGGUUGAAGUGGGCCAGCUGAAGAUGUGUUUGCUUGUCUCGUGGGUUUUGUUUCUGUUGUUUGUGCUGUUUUGGAAAUAGGAAUUAGAGGUUAGGACUUUUUUGUNACCUGAAAAAUGACUUCUAGCCCAAUGAUGUGGAGGGAUUUUCAAGAGCCACUGAUAUGCUUCUAUGUCAUAAUUCCUUAGCUCUACCAUUACAGCUUCAAACUCUGGUAUGGUGGUGGCUGUAGCACACCUCCAAAAAUACUCCUUGUAUUCUGUAGUCUUAAAUCUGAUCCUCAUGUUCUGGUAUAUGUGUCUAAUACAGAACCUGUGUUCUGCAUUAGGGAACAAUUGUUCUAUGGCUGGUAGAAGACCCUGUUGUCACCAAAACAAAAUAAGAAAUUAGUCUGUAAUGCAACUAGUAUGCAAUAUUAAAUGUAACUAUAGUACCUUCUGUCUAUCACUGAUAAAGGUGAAGUUGGAAUUUGAAUACAAGUCAAGAUCUUCUGCAAGACACUGAAGAAACCAUUUCCAACUUGAAGUGUUUUCACUUUCAACAACAGCAUAUGCCAAUGGGUAGGUUCCAUUGUUGGAAUCAACACCAACUGCACUUAGUAUUUGACCUGGGAAAGGUCCCUUCAUGAAGGCUCCAUCUAAGCCUAAAAAUUCUCUCAAACCUGCCUUAAAACCUUUCUUCAAAGGACCUAAACACACGUAUAUCCUUCUGAAUUGCCUGGUUGGGGAUGAAACCACAGGUUCUGAAACCACAUCAAUCUUUACAGUUGUACCUUCAUUUGUCUUUUGUAGCUCUAGUACAUAGUCUCUCAAAGCUGCAUAUUGCUUUACGUAAUCCCCUGCAACAUUUUUGGUGGCUAAUGCUCUUGCCCUAAAUGCUUUCUCUUCUGAAAUACUAACUCCAUAAGUUGAUUGGAGUUGCUCUUGUAGGGCACGAACAGGCAGUCCAGGAUUAGCUUCAAUCUGAUCCAUAAUACGUUUGGAAAGAAAUGUUGCUGUGCAAGAUCUGAUUUUUCGUGUUUGGAGGCAGAUGUGUUUCUGAUUAUAGGUCUUAAUAAACCAAUAGUCCUGUUCACUUGACCUAGAUGCAUGAAGUUUCCAUGUGCAUUUAACUUUAUCUGAGUUUACAUCUUUACCCUUUACCUUUUUCCCAGAGGUAGGUCCACCUACCCCACUUGCAUUUAAAACUACAGUUCCAUCACAAACAGCUGUCAAUCUACUCUUGUCGUUUUUUGUGAAUGAGAUAUUCCUCCUUGUCUCUAAAGCAUGCAGGUCAAUUUUGUCUUUCAAUUCUUUCUUGGCUUUAUAUUUCUGCCCAAUAUGAAAAGCUACCUUGUGCACCUCACCAGCAGAACAUAAGGUUUGUUUCCCCAGCUCUUUGAUCAUUUCUCUUCUUUUCCUGUUGUCCCCUGAGUCCUCACUUAAUGAAUCCCACUCGUCAUUGUCAAUUACCUCCAAAUCAUCUUCUUCAUCACUAUCUUCAUUUCUUUGACCACCCAUUCUUUGACAUCCAUUGAACUCUGCUUCUGUAUCAAUAUUUAGAUUGAAAUCCUCCAUGUCAACGUCAACAUCUUCAAUUAUGUUGUCCUCAUCAAUCAUAAAGUCACUAUCUUCAUCUUCACUGUUUUGAUUCUCAAAAUCAAUGUCAUCAGGCUCCUCUUGUCUCCACUCAUCAUUGAAAGGAAUGUUAUCUUGGCCUUCAAACCCAUUAAAUGGGAUGCUAUCUUGGUCUUCAAAAGGUUGAAAGUUUGUCAUUAACUCAUCAUCUAUGUUGAUGUUAGUUGAAAAUUCAUUGACUCCUUGAGGAUCAUUAUCCAUGACAACUCUAUACCCCUCAUCUGCAAAUCCUUCUACACCCUCACCAUUGGAUUUGUUCACAUCAAGUUCUUCAUUCACAUCAAUCUCUUUGUUUAACUCUUUUUCUGCAUCAACUACAACAAAUUCAUCUACAAAUCCUUCUACACCCUUACCCUUAUCAACUUCACCACUUGCCAUUGUUUUUUCAGCACCUUCCCAAUCCAAGUUAAGCUUUGUACUACAAGACGAUGCCCCUUUACUAUGUUUCCAACCUUUAGACCUACUAAAUUCAGGUGUUGCUGAUUUGUAUAAGGUUAAUGCUAACCCUAAAUCACCCUCACCAACAUCAAUUUGGAUUGGAGUUACCACUUCAUGAGCAACUACAGGUGAUGAGGGUCUAAUGGAAUCCUGCUUCUCCAUGUCUUCUAUUAUAACCCUUCUUGGACCAGUUGGGGACAUAAAAUAUGUAAGCAAGUUCGUUUGACCAUGCUCUGUGUACACUUUAAUCAUUUUGUUAUUAUGGGUAACAUACCGUGAGAGAUUACGCACAUCAUCAUCGUUACCUAAUGCUCGGAGUCCAAAGUCAAAUCCUUCAUUAGGCAAACGGAAAUGGUAAUACAUGAUUUCAGUACCAUCAUACCCUAAUUCUCUCAUCAUCAAGUCUAGUUCAUGAACAGAAAAUUCAUCAAUGUCGACAACAUCAAAGUACCUUACUUGGCCGUUAAUAUACCUGAUAUUUGGAAACUUUGUGAAACUCCCUCCGUGAUGAAGUUCAAUAGAGAAUAUGUUGGGGUAACCAGCUUCAAAACAGAAAGAGACGAUUGUUAGUUACAGUUUUUCAAAUUUUGAAGCUUGAUCAUAAAAUACAGAGUUUUUCUAAGUUUGAAUCUUACCAUAAACUUCUUGAACGUUGACAAUCUCUCCAACAUUUCUAAGUCCCCACAUUUUCAAAAGCAGGAACACAAUCCAAUUUUCAGACGAUCGUUAGGGUUUUUGCGUUUGAAUCAAGAGGUAUGAGUAGAAGACGAAGGAGUGUACAGUCUGCAAUCUAAUUAAUUGAAGUGGCGGCAACGGAGGCUAGGACCUAAAAUGACCAAAAUGCCCUCACAUGGAGGGCACGUGAAGGCACUAACGGCCCCAAACAAACGGUCAAUGACGGAAUGGACUAAAAACCCAUGAAAAUCUUGAUUUUGGACCUUUGGUGCAAGCUGGAAACUUUUUGGACCCCAUCCAAAGGUUUUGCCAAACCACAAGGACCAAAUUUGCAGUUUUGUCUAUAAAAAAUGACAUUUUUGUUUUGACAAAGUUUAUUUACAAAUAAAUAUAAAAUGACAAAAAAGACAAUGUAAAAUGUCAAAUUUUAAUGCCUCAGUGGUCGUGAAAAAAGAAAAUCUAGCUCCUAUUGAUAUAGUUUAUGAUGAGUUUUUGAGUUAUAAUAACGUUAAACAGUCAUUGAUUUAGGAAAAAAAUAAGCGUAUUGAAAUGUGAUAUCUAGAGUGUCACAAUUCAUCUAUCAUGACAACACUAACACCUUUGUAUAUAUAUUGUCAUUUUUUCCAAACUAGAAGACCUUGUAAUUUCAAGAUUCCAAUGUUUAUCUAAAAUAAUUUUGAUGAUACAAACUACUACCAUACAAAAUAAAUAACAGUAAAAUGUUAUACAAAUACAUCCAAUUAGUGACCGCGCUAUAAACUUUAUUUCAUCUUAUAAUAUCAAACAAUUGUGACUGGAAACUUGAGAGGAAAAACCGAUAAACAAAAGUUUAACAAUAAUAAUAAUAUAUAAAAAUAUGUGUUAACCCAUUAGUAUUAUAUAAACUGAAACUAUAGUCCAGAAGACAUAAAAUUGGCCAAUAACAAUAUGUAUGUAAGUGAUGUGUUCUUUGACAUAUAAAAUGUUUUUGAACGAAAAAAUAUUUGUUAUCGUUUCUUAUAUGAUAAUGUGUAUUUGACACUUAAUGGUAAAUAAUAUUUAACUAUAAAGGAUACCUACUAAAAAUAUGACUUAUAAAAUAGAGUGUAAGGAAUCUCAACUUUUUAUUUUUAAUUCUCAUUAAUUUUAUUUAUCCUAGCAUUACUCUUAUUGGUAAUUGUUAGAUUUAGUAAACUAUUUGCCCAAACGAAAUAAACCAUUUCCAUAAAUUAAUUUUUAAAAAACUAUCCGAACCCGUCGCUUGUUGCGGAGAAAACGACUAAUANNNNNNNNNNNNNNNNNNNNNNNNNNNNNNNNNNNNNNNNNNNNNNNNNNNNNNNNNNNNNNNNNNNNNNNNNNNNNUAUAUAUAUAUAUAUAUAAAUAAAGAAUUUAGUAAAAUUAAAUGAUUAUUUAAUUAAAAAAGAUAGAUAUUAAAUGAUUUCUAUAAUUGUAUGUAUACUAAAUGAUAUCUAUAAUUAUAAUUCUAUUUUUAUGGAAACUAAUUAAAUUUGCCAUUAAUGUCAGUAAUAACAUUAUUUCAGAAUGAAUUCGUAUCUAGGUUUUUUUAUAUGGGUUAAUUUUUUUUUAGGACUCACUCAUUUAAAAUACAAUAAAGUUGCAUGGAAUAUAAAGAAUAAGAGUGUAUUAUACUAGAAUACACUUAAUCUGUUAGAAUACACUCUCAUUCUUCUAGAUACGAAUUCAUUCUGAAAGAAUAUUAUUGUUGAUAUUAUUACCGAAUUUAAUUAGUUUCCAUAAAAAAUAAAUUAUAAGUAUGGAUAUCAUUUCAUAUACAUAUAUUUUUUACUAAAUUCUUAUUGGUGUAUUACAGCACACAAUAGAUUUGAGAACCUACUUUUCUCUCUCUCUCUCUCUCUCUCUCUCUCUCUCUAUAUAUAUAUAGGUAAAGGUUCAAAUGAGAAUCAAAAAAUAAUAAAAACUCUAAGAACCUCUAAUUUUAGCUUAUAAAGGGCAUUUUGUCACAAACACAUUAUUUCAUCUAAACUUUAAAAUACCAGAUCAAAACAUCAGAUCUGGAAAAGCUCAUUCUCCCUCUCUCUCACCAAACAUCUCUUCCUCUCUCUCCUACCUCCGGUAACUUUCCACCACCACCUGCUACCUCCGGUGCCGCCACUAACCACUGUCACCACCUACUUUCGACGGAAGAAACAUCUACCACAGCAACCCAACCACUCUUAUGACGUUGCUUCGGUUACAUAUCUCCAUCCGCCUUCUUUUUUCUCAAUCUCCUUGAAACACCACCAAAAUUGUUCAGAUCUGGUGCACCACCACCUCCACCUACCAUUGAUACAUGUCUUCGACCUCCAAAAGCUUUCGUUUUCAUCAGAUUUGUGUUGAUUCUUUAUAGAUCUAUGAUCUCCAGCUGUACAUCUAUGAUCUUUGACGACGUAUCUCUGAUUUUCACUUAGAAAUCUAUGAUUUACACCUCCAGAUCUGUUAUGUGUCGCCUCCUUCCCCUCUAUUACUCGUUUUCAUCUCUGUCUCUCUUAUUUUUCUAAUUGCAUUUGUUGUAGAUCUCUAUUAUAUUUUGGUUUUCUUUUUUUUUUUUUUUUUUAUAUUAAUGUGUGAAUUUGAUAUUUUAAUCUCUCAUUUGUCAUAUAUAAUUUUGUUAAUCUUAGUUUUAACUGCUAUUAACUUGUGAAUGUAUAAUUUUUUUGAAUUAAACUUUAAACUUAUUAUACUAGUUUGUGAAUUUUAUAUAUUAAAUUGUGUAUUAAUUGUAAUAAGUGUUUUAAGUUGAUAAUAUGGAUGUGAAUACUACUUUUUGUGUAUUAAAAUGUGAAUUUAGUCUAAUAAGCUGUCAUUUUUGUGUUUUAAAUUGUGAAUUGAUUACAUUAAACUUUGAAUUUUCUUUUUAAACUAUGAAUUGACUAUAUUAAGCUGUGAAUUUUCUGUUUGAACUAUAAAUUGACUAGAUUAAGUUGUGAAUUAUGUGUAUGAAACUAUGAAGUUACUUGUAUUAAGCUAUGAAUUUUGUGUAUAAACUUUGUAUUGACUAUAUAAAGAGUGUUAAUCUGAAAAUAUGGUUAUGGAUGCAUACUUUUUGUGUAUUAAACUUUGAAUUUUGUGUAUUAAACUAUGACUUUUGUGUUUUAAAUUGUGAAUUGACUGCAUUAAACUGUAUAUUUUCUUUAUAGACUAUGAAUUGACUAUAUUAAGCUGUAAAUUUUGUGUAUUAAAUUAUGAGUUGAUUGUAUAAAGCUGUGAAUGAAUUGACAUUAAGUUGUGAUUAUUUUAUAAUUGUUUUGUUUGCUUUUGAAAUAAUGUAAAUUUUAUUCACGACUUAAUAUAUUAAAUUUACAAUUUAAAAUAUGAAUGAUUUAUGUAUAAUUUUUUUUGUUAUUUUUUUUUUCUGAAUAUAUUUAUUUUUUUGUGUUGUAUAAGUAUAUAAGAAUACAUUAGUUUUAAUAAUAAUUUUGCAUUAAAUUCAAAAUGAGUGUAAUAAAUAGUUUUAUUAGACUGUGAAUGCAGUAUUUAUGUUAUUAAUGCAUGACUUUGUUUACAGAUCUAAUUUAGAAGAAAAUAAUGGUUGCGAUGCUGGUAUAGGUGGUUGGUGGCAGUAUGUGGUGGUGGUAGUAGGGUUUGAAAAUUUGAUUUCUUUAAGUUUGUGAAUUAGUAUAAAAUGGUUUGUAUUAAAUUGUGAAUUUUGUGAAUUAAAUUACGAAUGGACUGUAUAAACUUGUAACUUAUAUAAGUUUUGUGUUCAAAUAUGAAAGCAUAUAAGAAUGAAAAUAUUAUACUGCAAAAUUACAAUUUUGCCCUUUUUGUAUCGAAAAGAAAAAAAAAAGGAUUUUCAUAUGUUUAACAAUAAUAUCAUGUAAAUAUUUAUUAAUUAAUGGGGUUCUUAGGUUCUUAAUCUUUUAUGGUUGUCAUUUGAACCAUUAUAUAUAUAUAUAUAUAUAUAUNNNNNNNNNNNNNNNNNNNNNNNNNNNNNNNNNNNNNNNUAUAUAUAUAUAUAUAUAUAUAUAUUACCUUUUAGGUUGUUUUUCCACUUAUAAACUACCCCACUUUUCUUCUAGAAUUUGGAUUAUUCAUUUUGUCCGAAUUCAAACCCCCCCUUUAAAAUCAAAUUUUUGUGUAGUCUGCAAACAAGAAAACAUACACCAGUAAAAAUUAUUCCUCAUUCAUACGUGUACACAUAACAGGCAAUACGAACAUCAAUCCGUACAAUGUCCAAUACGCACUAGUCGUGGUACUAAGCCAUGUAACAGUCCAAUUGCGUGUUAUUCGAACACAUAAUCAUAAUAUUUAAACACAACAUUAUUCAAACAUACAUAUCACCAUCAUUAUGACAUGAACAUUGCACUUGCAACCACACACAUGAAAGCACACCAAGUUUCUAGUGAACUCCACACCACCACAUAUAUAUCCUGCACACAUGAAAAUCAUCAUUAUUAGAUCAUAUCAUUGAUACUUCCAGAUGCUAACCUUAAAGUUGUUUAAACAACUCAAUUUGUCCAACACACUAUCAUGACUCAUGAACAUGCCUUUUUUUUUUUUUUUUUUUUAAAUCAAUCAUGGCCGGUGGUGGCCCAUCUAAUAGUCAUACAUGUUACUCGUUAUUACUUAUUAGCCACUACUUCUUAUCUUCAACAGUUUGUGUUGAGGAACUUACAGAAAGGGGCAGUUGUCCACCUCUGGUUAUCACCUUUAGUCCACUCCCAACAAAGAAUUUUGGUGCCAUCAUGAAUACCAGUGUCACCGAUAGAUGCAUCAACAUUAAGCUUAAUCUUGUUCACCAUUCUUACUGCGUGAAAACCAUCACCCAAAUCCUUGCUUUGUGUCCAAAGAACAGAUUCGUCAAGCUUAUCUGGGUUGUAUUCCGUUAGCUGAACCUAUAGAAGUAUCCGUUGAUGUUUCACAAAAAGAACUUUCGAGUAAACAAAUAUUUGCAUAUAGGAAUCUAAAAGUAUUCAUAAACAAUAGCUGAAAUCCUAAGAAUGAACUGAAAAACUUUCGAGUUCAGAGUCAGAUUGAAACAUCUAAUGAUUGUAAAUGACGACAUACCGGUUUAGCAGCACCGGUAGCGUGCUUCAAUGCCUGUCCCGUAGCUUUAUUGACCAGAGCAAAAGAGGGAAAACCCUCUUCGUCUUUGACUCUCGUGCUAAACUUCUCUUCCUUUAUCCAAUGCUGUGUGAAAAGGUGAAAAAAAAGUCAACUAAAUAGAAGCAUGUGAGUUUAUUCGAAUUCGGAAAAAGAGGGAAUCAGAGGGUACCUGGUGAUGAUCGGAGGGGUUGGUGGGUGCGAGAACGACUUCUCCAUUACGGAUGGUGAGUGAGUAAUUAGUCUUGAUCUUGCUGUAAAACCUAACAGUGGGUUUAUUGUCGGUGUACUUGGGGGUUUGGUGGGUGGUCUGGUGAGAGACAUGGUGAACUAUGGCUGCAGGUUGCGGUGGUGGUGGUGAUGGUUGGUGAUGGGAGGUAACAUGGUGGGAAGGUUGUGGUGGUGGUGGUGAUGGUUGGUGGUGGGCGGGAGCAUGGUGUUGCGGUGGUGGUGGUGAUGGCUGGUGGUGGGUGGGAAGAUGGUGGGCAGGUUGCGGUGGUGGUGGAGUUGGUUGGUAGGCAUUGUGGUGGUGUCGAGGAUCCAUUUUUUUCUAGAUUUAAUUGGGGUGUGUGUUGGAAGUUAAAUAAGAAAAGAGAUGAGGAGGGUAGUUAGAA